ACAUAAAAUCCAAUAUAUCAAAUAUGUUAAAAUCCAGUAAAUAAUGCCAGAAAGUAUAUACAAAUUUGCACUUCCAAUACACCGAACAAAAAAUGUACAUACAUCAACAUUCACUACUCCUUUCAACAAUGCUAGAACAUGAUCACUUGUUUGUCUUUCAGCAGACAAUCCUUGACCACUGGCAACCGGGGAGCUGCUGGAGAUCGCUCCUCAGCUGGCUUAGCUGUUUGUUCAUCUAAAAAAGAAAAAGGGUUACCUUUCCGUUAAUUUUAGUCUUGCAGUUACAGCCCCUCAAGUAUUUGGUCACCUAUAUUUUCUUGUUUUUUUUCACUACCUUGUUUCAUAAUUAUCCUAUGUAUUUUCUUGAAGAGUGCAGGCUUAUUCUACACCAAUUCCCCUCCAUCCUCGAGUUACCUGGCCACCGUAGCUCCUCUCCUCCCUCUUGCCGCUCCAUGUGCUAGCAUUGAAAAUGCCAAAUUAUAUUGUGUCGCAUUGUUAUGUACGUAGUUCUGAUCAAUAACACAACUACCUAAAAGCAAAUAAGAAAACCAAAGUGAAAUUGCUGGGUAAAUGUCAACAAAUCACAUACUGCUAGAUGAAUCAUAAGAAUAUGUGUACCCCAUUAUGUCUCAAAUCAUCAUAAUACAGUGAUAGGUGAUGUAUAGGGAGAUAAAAGACAUUAGCAAUAAUUAAUAAUCCUUACUGGUUAAAGAAAGAAAUUGGUCAUCUGAAAUUAUGAAUAUGAAGAUAAUGAACCCAUGAAAAUACUAACGAUUAGAAUUAUCCUUCCUUUCAAUCUCCAUCUUUACCAAACAGGAUAACCCAAAAUGAAUAGGCGAUACUUUUAACAAAAAUCUAAAAAAUUUAAGGGUAAGCUAUAGAAUAUGUUACCAUUAAGGUAGAUGUUAAUUGCAAGAACAACUUUUCGAUCAAUGCUACACUUUUGUCAUGCAUCACGUUAACAUGAGCCGCAACUUGUGGAAGAUAACAUGUGCUCAUUAUUCAUGUGCAUCCUGAUCUCCAAGUAUUAACACAAGAAAUUAUUCAGUUGUAACACACUCUAGCCAUGCCCGAAAUAUGAUUAGUGGAAUGCUCUGCUCGGUAAAUUACUACCCAGCGCAUAUUGUUUCACCAAUUUUGAACAAGUGGACUGGAUCGCUUAUCAAGUAUUUUUCAAGCGAGGAAACUAAUAUCUCAUGUGAAAAAAUGCUUUUCAGGCUUUCCUUUUACAAUACUAUAGAAACUUGGUUCUCUCACAUGUACAUAUGAACCUACUUAUGAUAAUGUUGAUCCCAACCACGUACGGAAACACUGAUUGAGAUUUACUCAAUAGGAUAGCUAAAACCUGACAGUAGUGAUUUUUUAAAUGUUAGUAGUAAUCCAGAACAAAAGAACAAGGUAAGCAAGUGAAAGAGUCAACUUACCUUUAACAAAAUUUCGUCAUAUGCCAAAAAAGAUUCAUCCCUAAAUGUUUAAUGAAGUGAUGCUUCUGGCACUUUUGGUUCCUCCAUAUCACGCUGCAAUGAACAUGUCCCAUUGGAAAAUUAGAUGUAUAAAAAAAUUAAAAUGGCAGCAAUUACUAUUCAAUAGUGAACAAUCAGGCUAUUAGAACAUACCUAUAUACAGUUGUGUAGCACCAUAACAUCUUAAAUUGGGAUAAAGACAGACAGAGUUCACCAUCAAUAUACAAUCAGGCUUCUGAACAAUAACUACCAGCAGCCCAACAGUACUAAUCAAAUGAAAUAAGAUAAAUUCAGUUACUUUAGAAUAGUAGUACCUGGCCAAUGGUUGGCUGUAUGAAGAAAAAAUAAGGAUCGAGAUGUUUAUGUGAAGAAGAACUGAAGUCAUAUCAUCUCCUGCUGCACAACCAACUACUGGCCAAUGGUUGGCCGUAUGAACAUACAAGUACCAAAACGACAUGGACUGUAAUAGUCUUGAACCUACAUAGACACGGGUUAUUCUAGAAAUAUAUCUGGAACAUGUUGUACAUGCGGCAUCAAUACUAUGGCUGAAUCAAAUGAUCAAUUAACCCUAAUACAUACUACGAGCACCCACAUAUACAAAACAUGCAAUCAGAAGAAAGAAGAGUACAUCGAGCGGCUUGAAAUGGUUUCCCAUGGUGGCUUCACAGGCAGGCAGGCAAGCAACAGUGCUGACAAACAUCUCGCUGGCAACCUAUGGAUUUGGCUUCUUAAUGGCAUGGCUAAGUAUGCCAGUGCCUCAGACUUCGAGAUGUAGAGUUCUAGAAAAAAAGUAGAUUUGAGGAUCUGGGUUAGCAAAUUUACUCCCAAAUGAUUAAUACCAUAGCACCAUGAAGACGGAAGCAUGUCUGCUAGUUUUAGCUAUUAUAUCAUAUUAGGUGGAUUAACAUUACAUUGCUAAGAUUAAUAAAUUAGUAGUGCACCCAUGAUAUGCUCUCAAACAAAAUUACAAGCGUUCACUAAAAGAAGCAUAGCGAACAUUAGUCUGUAAGUAAAUGAUUUAAAUAAAUUAUUCCUCAACCAGCCAUGCCUCACUCUAGUGCUGCCACCGCCCUCGUUCACCGUAUAAUCUACGGCCCAGGUCGUUCUGCCCGUGUAAGAGACGUGAGACAUAGGACACAUGAGGAAUGGAAGUAAGAAUCGAUAUGAGGUCAGAAAAACUUUUAUCUGUAUCUUCAAUGAGGCAAAUCCCCCUUCUGAAUUGACAACAAUUAUCAACCCUUGCAAUGCACCUAUGAUGGGUUCGAUGACAGAUUUAGUGUAUGAGAUAGAACCUCUGCCAAUCUUGUUAACUUGGGUCAUUAUUCAGUAGUCAACAUAUUAGAAAAGGAUGAGAGGUGUGGUAGACAUGGUGGAGGAAUCUUAACGUAUAUAGCACUUCCCAGAAAAAAAGAUAUUAGCACCAUAGUUGAAAUGUGUCUAUAAAAAGAAGUCCUAUUGUGCUUCGAAAAGGGAGUCUGAUUUCAGAGUAAUCCAAGUUAUUCAGGUGAUUAACAAUGAAACAAACUCUGCAAUUUGAGUAUUUCCUAAAUAAAGUGAUAUAUACACGCACCAAAUAUUUGUGAAGUUACAGAGAACUAUCGAUUUGAGGUAUGUAUGACUCAAGAAGGGAAACCUCUACAUUGAGUACUCAAAGCUAACGAAAGGAAGCCACAUGAUCAGGUAUUUGAGGCAUGCAAUGUAGAACCUUAGCCGGGAUAAACUGCAAUUGGUCAAACAUGCACUCACACAACCUGGAACGCUCUGAAACAGAAGUUUAAUCUAGCAGCCAGCAACCGCGUACGCGAGGAAAUACCUGCCUAAUUGUACAUAUAUGGAAAGGUGUUGAGCAAGAUGCACGGCUAGUUCAUGAGAUAGACUUUGCGCCCUUCGGGUCCAGCAUGGUGAAGUGGAUCACACCUCCUGUAUCCACCACGAACUCGAUCUAUGGCAUGUACUCCUUCAUUCUUCUGGACCUAGCUAGAGAACCUGACACCUGUGAUGUAGCUUGCCGAUCCAAGACCAAACACGUAGAAUGGCCGGUUUGCCCAAUAUGUUACGUUGUGCUUGCACUCGUGUACUUGUCCGGCAACGCCCGAGGAUUCUUCCUGCAACCAGCAAGAAUCCCUAUCAAUCAUAAACAUCUUCAUCACUCACACCGAUUCACUCACUGAACCAAGCAAGUAAUGGAGGGAGAACGGAGGACUCACAACACUUUCAUCUCGAAGUUGUUGAGCCACCUGAUGUAGAUGUUGAAGACGAGGAAGUGGGCGGCUCGCUAGUGCCGGGCGUGCUUGGGAAUGGACCGCCAGGCGAUGACGGGGUCCAGCACGCCGUGCGCCUGCGGGUCAUCCGAGUUGGAGGCUUGGAGCUCCCAGUAGAACUCCACCGUCGCGUUGUAAUCCGCCGCCAUGAACACGUUGAGAGAGCCGUUGGGCCCCACGAACUUGGCCAGGGACUUUUGGUCGCGCGACGGGAUCGCCGACGACACCAGGCACACCAUCGACUUCAGGGAGUCCCCCACGAACAUCAGCCUCUUCUUCCACAGCCGCUCCAGCAGCAACCGCGCAUCGAACCUACAGCAAGAUCCAAUUCGGUUGGGUUGAGAUCUACGAGUGCUGAUGAACUGAAUUGAAUUGGGGAUGGAUGGAUGGAAGGUACCGGAUGGUACCUGGGGUGGUCGCAGGAGGAAGGCUGCCAGCGCCACCGCUGGUACGAGUCAUCGCGCCGGCCGUUGCGCAUGCAGGUCACCUGCUCCGUCAGGAACUCGCACUCCGGCUCCCUGUACAGUCGCACNNNNNNNNNNNNNNNNNNNNNNNNNNNNNNNNNNNNNNNNNNNNNNNNNNNNNNNNNNNNNNNNNNNNNNNNNNNNNNNNNNNNNNNNNNNNNNNNNNNNNNNNNNNNNNNNNNNNNNNNNNNNNNGAGGGCGGCGGCUUUACCGUGGCCACGAUGACGGCGAUACAGAACUGAUGACGAGGGCGAGAUCUGGCGGGGUCUUCUCGAGUCAUCUGGCGGCAGCUAGAUCCGACGGGGUCUCCUCCGAGAUCGGCAGCACUAACGUCGAGGUCCAGGGGAUCGCAACGUGUGUGGGUGGGGUCGGGGGAGGGGAGGGGCGAAAUAAAACGAGCGAAAAAAAACCGUGACAAAAAAAACCCCGACGAAGGUGGGACGAAAAAAAACCUGGAAGCGAGACUACCAACUGCUUCAUUAGGAGUAGAGAUACCUACGUACCCCCAAACUAUCACAUACGGAGCCAAAACCCUAAUUCCACCGACGUAACUUUCUGUAUCCACGAGAUCCCAUCUUGAGGCCUGUUCCGGAGCUCCGCCGGAGGGGGCAUCGAUCACGGAGGGCUUCUACAUCAACACCAUAGCCCUUCCGAUGAAGUGUGAGUAGUUUACCUCAGACCUACGGGUCCAUAGUUAUUAGCUAGAUGGCUUCUUCUCUUUUUUUGGAUCUCAAUACAAAGUUCUCCCCCUCUCUUGUGGAGAUCUAUUCGAUGUAAUUUUCUUUUGCGGUGUGUUUGUUGAGACUGAUGAAUUAUGGGUUUAUGAUCAAGUUUAUCUAUAAACAAUAUUUGAGUCUUCUCUGAAUUCUUUUAUGUAUGAUUGGUUAUUUUUGCAAGUCUCUUUGAAUUGUCAGUUAGGUUUGGCCUACUAGAUUGAUCUUUCUUGCAAUGGGAGAAGUGCUUAGUGUCGGUGUCAAAACCGGCGGACCUCGGGUAGGGGGUCCCGAACUAUGCGUCUAAGGCGGAUGAUAACAGGAGGCAGGGGACACGAUGUUUACCCAGGUUCGGGCCCUCUUGAUGGAGGUAAUACCCUACGUCCUGCUUGAUUGAUCUUGAUGAUAUGAGUAUUACAAGAGUUGAUUUACCACGAGAUCAUAGAGGCUAAACCCUAGAAGCUAGCCUAUUGUAUGAUUGUAUGUGUAUCUAUCGAUUAGCCUGGCCCUGGUUUAUAUAAUACACCAGAGGCCUGGGAUAACAAGAGUCCUAGCCGAAUACACCGGUGGGGGAGGAGUCCUUGUCUUGACCACCAAGUCUUGUGGAAUCUUCCUUGUAUGCGGCAGCUGUCCGAACUGGCCCAUGAGUAUACGGCCAUGGGGUCAUCGGCUCAACCUAACUGACUGAGAGACGACGUGGUGAGUACCCCCUAGUCCAGGACACCGUCAGUAGCCCCCUGAACCGGUCUUCAAGUUGAGGACGCUCCUCGAUUCUUCUGAACUGCUCUUUGUCUUCGGUCGUCGGUCUUGAAAACUGGUUCAACAAAUCUUGCUAUCUUCUAUCUUGAGGAUUACCGAGCUAAAUCUGAAGAUCUCACACGUCGGGUAUCCAAGGAGCCCUUUAAGUCUUCGUCAUUUAUCAAUGCCUUGUUAUUUUUAUGCCACACCUCGGAUUUGAAGUUGUUCCCGGGCGGCAGCGUCCUCUUGCGUCCGAGCUCCAACGCCGAACUGCAUUCGAGGUAUCUUUUGCAGCCGAGCACCAAUGCCGGACCGCUUUCCGAGCUCCAACGCCGGAAUGUAUCCGAGCUCCAACGCCGGACUGUAUCCGGGCUCCAAUGCCGGACUAUAUCCGAGGUGUCAUAUCACCAUGGUUCAAAAAAGUUGAAGGAGUUUAGCCGAGCUUAAUGCCGGGAAUGCUCUUUAUGGAGCCAGCCACUAGCGCCCGAGCUUUAUGCCGGACUGCUUCCGAGGUGGUGCACCACCCCGACUGUGGGCUGAUUUUUUGUCAAUAUUUUUUAUUGGUGCAAUUUAUUCUCUGCCGAGAUAUAUAGCCAGUAGCCCUCAAGGUAUGUAUCGGUCUAAAACCCCAGAUGCUCCUGAAGGAUGACGUAAGACUGCUGAUCCCAGUAGUCGCUGAGACUCAGGUUCAUUUGCAAAAUCGGCCUGAGGAUAAAGUCCUAGCUCGGCAGAAUACUUCGCGACACAAAAAGCGGCGUGCUCAGUCCUCGAGACUCGGGUUGGGUGCGGCCGACCAACCUGAGGAUCAAAAUCUCCUCAGAAACUGUAUUGCACUUAAAAUUUUCUGCAUUGGACAUGCAAUGCAGUAGCCCCCGAGACACUGGUCGGGUGGCAACACCAGAUCAGGGGAUCGAUGUGCCCCUUUAAUAUUUGUAAAUAAUAAGCCCAAAGCCCAGUAGCCCCCGAGCCUUAAUGCGGGUAUGGGUGGCCGAAUUAAGGAUCGAUAUCCAUAGUAAAAUCAUAAAUUAUGUGCAAUGACUCUAUGUAUCCAAGUACUUUACAUCAUUAAUGCUCGGAUCCGCAUUGUACAAAACUUUGUUGACCGACCAUCGGCUUCCACCUCCUCGGCCAGUAGCCGAGGAGUGUUUGUCCUACUUUAUAAAGCCUUUAUGAGGGUAAAGAUUUUCAACAAACAAGGCAAUCUGGCCAUACAUUUUAUAAACAAAGGUACGUAGAGAGAUAUGUUAUAUUACUGUUUAACAUAAGAAAUCUCUUCCAAAGAAAAUAGUCCCGCCAUUGGUUCCUUUCUUUGGGUUGUCAUGCUAAGCAUGAUCAUGAAACCUCAGCUCUAAUGUAAGAGCAAAAUAUUGAGGAUUUAGUUUGGGAGGCCAGUUACUAGCCCCCGAUAGUGUUCGGCGAUAGUCGAUGUCAAGUCGUAAACACUUCGGCCAAUGUUAUGAAUGGCCCGUCAUAUAACACAGUCAUCGGAUCACUGACCAGUUUACGCUUAUUAUGACAGUCAGUUUUCGGCUUUCUCCACUGAGGUGCUUAACCAUGUGAUCUGAAAGCACAAUCACAGUGAUUCUCACUUUGCACACCUAGUCAAACAAAGCGGAACGUAGGAGGCAAGCGCAGGAGCCGGUCAACCCAACUAUUGACCGAAGACACAAUUCGAAACCGAUGCAUAUAUAGCAAUAUCCUAAAAUGUUUUUGCCGAAUCUCUAAAGGUGUCCGGCGUUGCACUGCGAGACUUGUGCUGAAAACACACAAAUAGUUUAAAAGUGCCAAAAGCUUGGAAAACCAAAAAACGUCAGUAAAAACAUGACGUCUGAACAAGAUCACGUGUUUGGUGCCAAUCCGAAAAUUCGAAGAGAAAAAAAUUGUGCUUCUGUCGUGUUUUGACAACAACCAAGAAGAAAACACAUUUACAACUCAUAUAUAAAUUUUAAGAGCCCCCGAGUGACUUGGGUAAAAGAAGUUUAUGUAUAAUGAUGGUAUGUACCGAAGUACUUAUAUCAUAUAUGUGUUCACCCAAACUUUAAACGUGUCUUAACCAACCGUCGGCUUCUCCCUCUUCGGCAAAGGGCCGAAGAGUGUCAUGUACUCCCGCCUGUCGAGAGUAUCGAUGGUGUUUCCGAUGACCAGGCAAUCAGGCCAUAAGAUUGUAACAGACAAAGCGCGCUCAGGGAACUUAUGCUUUAUUACUAACGAAGUGUAAGAAGCAUCUUCGAAGAAAAUAGUACCCCCCCCCCAGCGAUACCUUUCUUUGGUGCUCAUUAUUACUAUGAGUGCAAUAGAUUUUUUGUACUCAUGAGUUCCGUUGUGUGCCGACCAUAAUUGAAAAUAAUAAGAGCGCUAACUUUCGGCUUCACCUAGUCUGAGGUCAGAACUCGGAUGACCCGGUCGUGACAAUCGGAGAGGUGCUCCCUUUACUCCCUAGCCGAACAAUCGGGAACGUAGGGGUAAAUACAGGAGCGAGGCAACCCAGCUUGCAAAUCGCUUAGGUCAAUAUGGUGCAUAUUGUGAUGUAAUACACGAACAAGGAACGAAGCCGUACAAGUAAAAUCAUAUGCAAGAGGAAAAGCUCCAUCAAGGGAGCCCCCAAAUAAACGGGGUAUUUGAAUAUGCGAGUCACAAACAAAGUUUUGACAAGGAACUUUGUCACAAACAACUUUGUGCCGAAAAGUAUAAUGCUUGGUCGAACCGAACAAAAUUUAAAACUGAAAGUUUUUGAGCAUGAAAGCGACUUAGCUAGUUAAUGUGCUCGAUGUUGAUGACGCAGACCGAGAUUGUGGCGGGACGAGAUCCCAGCCCCCAAGUCGGUCGCAAGAUGUUCGAGUAAAGAACUCGGCUUGAUGAAGUGGUGACGCAGCAUAGUCGAUGGGCGAGGUGAAAACCCCAGCCCGACCGCGGUGACGGAGCAGGCCGACAGUGUGACUCCGAAGCCCCAGCGUGUGUUAAUGAAGUGAUGACGAAGCCCCCGGUCAGCCGAGGUUACGUAGUACGUCGGUAUGCCGCGGUGACAGCGCUGCCCGGAUUAUCUACCUGUGCAUAGAAAAUAGUGCAAGCCAGAGAUAAAAGGAACAAUAAUAAAAAAGUGUUGCAUAAUCAAUAAUUUAUGCAAAGUGAGUAAUAAAAGAAAUAUGGCAUGUGCGCUGAACACUCGAUGAGGUAGAGCUCUCUCGGCGAUGCCGAAGUCCCCGAGGCAACUGAACACGUCGGUAUGGCAACACGACCAACAAGGUGAUCACGCGAGCCGAUUCACGCCAAUUGGGAUGACGACAUCGGCUUGCCGAAGAGACUACGUGACACAGUCAUAGUCGAUCACCUACACACAUAAAAUAGUGCGGUCCAAAAAGGAUAAUUGCUUUUCACAAAAAUAAUUUAUUAAAAGAGAUGUGGCCUGGCGCCGAAGUCAUGUCGAUGCAGGGUGUCGGCGUGACGCGGUGAAGGCAUGGCCAAGCCCGAAUUCGCAGGCCGGUCUGAGUUCCAGAUGCGGCAUUCGCCGAACUGUAUACGAAAACUAACCGAACCACCACGCGGCCGUUGUUAAUGUGGCCGCCAUUUGAUAGACCUGUGUACAGAUGACGGAACAAACCAGAGUAAUAAUUCCUUAAGAAAAAUAAACCCAACAAGCAAAAAUUGUUAGGAUUAAUAGCACCUGGUUUAUUUGUUGUAACAUUCCGAAGAAAAGCGACUCCCAAAAUCAGGAAUCGAUCCGCACACCCAGUGCCUGAUGGGCGAUAAAGUGAUGGCCAGGUGAUACUGGCAAAGGUUGGUUUGCCGAGGCGAAGCCCUCGGUCCAGCUAAUGUGACGAAGUUGGUGAAGAAAUAGCCAAGUCCCCGGUCUAGCCGAGGUGACGGAGCAGGGCGGUGAGGAGUUGUUGUAGCUACCAUGUCAGCCGAGGUGUUGAAGUAGUUCGGCAUGAUGGACAUUGGCUCGAAGGAGCAACAGUGCGGCCAUGCCGACCCAGGUCGUAACUUGUGACGCGGCCAAUGCUGGUCUGAUGAAGUGACCAUGCGGCGAUGCCGGUGUGCCUGCUCCAUGUAAUCCGUAGGGCGGCGAUGUUGGUGAUGAUUUAUCCUUGAUGAUUCCGAACUCUUAUUCGGCUCGCCGAGGUGAGGAUCCGAAAAGUUGAGCUCGGCUUAAAAAGCGAUGACAUGUCUAGCGCAGGUCGGCAGUCAUGGAGCUAUAUUACUGAACUGGUUUGACACCAGCGUGAUGGCGAAGAUUACCUCAGAGGAGGAUUAAAAUUUUAUGGGCGUGUGUUAAAAACAACGCACAAUACCUUAGACAAAAAUUCCAUUUAAAAAGGUUGUCCAAUAUCAUGUUCAUAAAAGAAACAUGAAUUCGAGUCGGAUCCGUAUUCGCGCAGGAAACAGAUCUGAAAAAUGAUGCACUAAUCGGAAGGUUCCUGAAGUUUGGACGGUCGGAUCGAGCUGAAAUUUUGAGAGGUGGUAGAUAUGGGAGUUCCGCAGAAGAUGAACGGUUGGGUCUUCCAUAGGACUUCCGAGCUGGGCUCUGGAGACCACGCCCUAAACUCGUCCAGAUUCCCGUCCGGAUUUGACAAGGCUCCAGUAUAUCAUAGAUUGUCAGAGAUUCCUCCAUCGGAACUCGACGAAAUUUUCAAAGGUUGUUGUAGACUCGAUUUCGCACAAUUCCACUGAAGCGAUCAUUAAAACGACACUCGAGGAGGUGGUGGCGGCGGAUACGCGUUCGCUGUCCAAAAAAUAGCACGGUCGCCCGAGGGCAAUGUUGACGUUGAGCCCCCGGGCUCUAUGUACGAUUCCUCCAUGAUCUUGAUAGUGAUCAGAGUUGGUGUUGAUGAAGGCCCUCGUCCGAACAUGACAAUCGGAGGCAGGGCACAGUCCUCGGUCAAGCCAAGGUGACCAGUCGAGCCGGUGACGAAGAUGUCGACGUCGCAGCUAAUCUGCAGACGAGCCAUCGAUCCUUUUGCCGAUCACACAGCGAAACUCUCAAUGAAAGCAUCAACAUCGAUGUCAAAACCGGUGGACCUCGGGUAGGGGGUACCGAACUGUGCGUCUAAGGCGGAUGGUAACAGGAGGCAGGGGACACGAUGUUUACCCAGGUUCAGGCCCUCUUGAUGGAGGUAAUACCCUACGUCCUGCUUGAUUGAUCUUGAUGAUAUGAGUAUUACAAGAGUUGAUUUACCACGAGAUCGUAGAGGCUAAACCCUAGAAGCUAGCCUAUGGUAUGAUUGUAUGUAUAUCUAUCGACUAGCCUGGCCCUGGUUUAUAUAAUGCACCAGAGGCCUAAGAUAACAAGAGUCCUACCCGAAUACACCGGUGGGGGAGGAGUCCUUGUCUUGACCACCAAGUCUUGUGGAAUCUUCCUUGUAUGCGGCAGCUGUCUGAACGGGACCAUGAGUAUACGGCCAUGGGGGUCCUCGACCCAAUCUAACUGACUGGGAGAUGACGUGGUGAGUACCCCCUAGUCCAGGACACCGUCACUUAGCUUUGGGUUCAAUCUUGCGGCGUCCUUUCCCAGUGACAGUAGGGGCAGCAAGGCACAUAUUGUAUUGUUGCCAUCGAGGAUAACAAGAUGAGGUUUAUUUCAUAUUGCAUGAGUUUAUCCCUCUACAUCAUGUCAUCUUGCUCAAAGCGUUACUCUGUUCUCUUGAACUUAAUACUCUAGAUGCAUGCUGGAUAGCGAUCGAUGUAUGGAGUAAUAGUAGUAGAUGCAGGCAGAAGUCGGUGUACUUGUCUCGGACGUGAUGCCUAUAUACAUGAUCAUACCUAGAUAUUCUCAUAAUUAUGCUCAAUUCUGUCAAUUGCUCAACAGUAAUUUGUUUACCCACCGUUAAUACUUAUGCUCUCGAGAGAAGCCACUAGUGAAACCUAUGGCCCCCGGGUCUAUCUUUCAUCAUAUUAAUCUUCCAAUACUUAGUUAUUUUUAUUGCUUUUAUUUUACUCUGCAUCUUUAUCAUACUAAUACCAAAAAUAUUAUCUUAUCAUAUCUAUCAGAUCUAACUCUCGUAAGUGACCGUGUAGGGAUUGACAACCCCUUAUUGCGUUGGUUGCGAGGAUUUAUUUACUUGUGUAGGUACGAGGGACUCGUGCGUGGCCUCCUACUGGAUUGAUGCCUUGGUUCUCAAAAACUGAGGGAAAUACUUACGCUACUUUACUGCACCACCCUUUCCUCUUCAAGGAAAAACCAACGCAAGUGCUCAAGAGUUAGCAACCUACGUCGUUACCACAGCCGCCGGGUCAAAACCAGAACCUUUCAAGAAGGUGACUUAGUGCUCCGACUCAUUCAGGACGAAAAGGAUAUGCAUAAGCUAUCACCACCUUGGGAAGGACCUUUUGUGGUUAGCAAGAAGCUGCAUAAUGGGUCAUACUACUUUAUCGAUGUUCGAGACUACAAGGGCACACGCACAUCAGAGGAGGAGACCCGUCGGUCGUGGAACAUUGCUCAUCUUCGGCCCUACUAUACUUGAUCCACAUGCUCUCAUGAUGUACAUAGUUACCUGAUGUAUAUAAUAUAAGCAGUAUAAUAAAGCCGGCAUGCCUGAUAGUUCAGGACCUCUGUCAUUUCGCUUCCUCGAAGCUGAGUCUUUAUCAUCAUAUUCAUUUAAGAGGCUCGGCGCCCAAGUUUCAGGGACCAAAGAGAUUUGGAUGCACAACACACACUAGUAGAAAACAGGGCUUUGGUCACGGGGCAGUUUUCACAUUAGUCCCGGUUCAGUCAAGAACCGGGACUAAUGUGAGCAUUUAUCCCGGUUCGUGCGGCUAAGGCAUUAGUCCCGGUUCACCUGGGCCCUUUAGUCCCGGUUCGUGCCACGAACCGGGACUAAAGGGUGUGAUGCCCAUUAGUCCCGGUUGGUGGCACCAACCGGGUCUAAAGGUUAGACCUUUAGUACCGGUUGGUGCCACCAACCGGUACUAAUGGGUUUUGAGGCAUUAGUACCGGUUUAUGGCACGAACCGGUACUAAAGGUCCCAUUUUCAAACUCUCCCCCCCCCCUUGUACCGCCUUUUCAGUUUUAGAAAAAACAAAAGAAAAUGAUGGAAAUGUCAAAAAAUAAAAUAAAAUAAGUUUCCCAUGUGAUAUGUGGUCUACUUGUUGGGAAAAUUUACAAAUAUGAAUUUUGACUUUAUUUGCAAAAUCUCUCUGGAAUUUGUAAAAUGGGCAUAACUUUUGCAUACGAACUCGGAUUAAAAAGUUUUUUAUAUGAAAAAUCAUCUACUCGAAAAGUUACAUCUGAAUUCGUAUGCAAAAAAACAUUCCUGGGAACCCCGUUAAACAUUUUCAAAAUCCUCAAAAACCUAACAGAAAAAAAGUUACGGGGCUUUUAAGAUCUAGAGUGGAAAAAAUCAAAAAAAAUACUAGUCAAAUCUGGUCAAACUAUCGUCAAACAAUGGUCAAACUAAUUAUUCUAGAACAUUAGUGUUACUAAAUAAUUAUUUCAGCUAUUUUGAAUUUUGGUCAAAUCUAGUCAAAUUGUGGUCAAACAAUGGUCAAACUAAUUAUUCAAGAAAUAUUAGUGUUACUAAAUAAUUAUUGUUUUUUAAAACAAUAGUUUCAAACUCAAACAGUGAAAUGUGUCACUUCAUGCUCAAGCAAAAUUCAUGAAGGUUAAUAGGAUUGACAUCUUACUAUUGUCAGGAAAACAACAAGUGCAGACUUGGAAACGAGAGAGAAUAGAACCCGGAAGUUAAGCGUGCUCAGGCUGGGGGAGUGGGAGGAUGGGUGACCAUUCGGGAAGUUAGAUGAUUUGGAAUGAUGAGGGGUGAUUAGAGGAUAAAUUGAGCAGUGAUGAGGGGUGGUGAUUACACACUAGAGGUUAAAAUAAUUCAGAAAUUUGAAAAUCAAAAAAAAAUUAAAAAAAUUAAAAAAAAUCAUAAAAUUUCCUUUAGUCCCGGUUGGUGUUACCAACCGGGACUAAAGGUGGAGCUCCACGUGGCCGCGCCCUUUAGUCCCGGUUCGUGUAAGAACCGGGACUAAAGGGGAGAGGCAUUAGUACCGACCCUUUGGUCCUAGUUCAAAAACCAGGACUAAAGGGGCCUUACCAACCAGGACAAAAGCCCCUUUUUCUACUAGUGACAGCUCAAACAUAGGUCCCUAACAAGCACGAUUUGUAAGCAUGUCACUUGGGGGUUUCCUAUUCAAAUAUAGGCGUAUUCGACCAAAGAGAACAUAGUGUUACUACCCUCUUGACCAGGUUUGUUCAAACAUAGGCGUAUUCGACCAAAGAGAACAAACUAUGAUCGGGUCAUACUACCUGUAACCAGCUGCUUUAACUCCAUCAGGUCAUCCUGAUUGACCCUCCGAACUCUUAACCAUCAGUCUUUACGGCAUAUUCGACCAAGAUCUGAGCUCGAUUAAGGUUCAAACAGCGGCUUGUCACGCGAGAACACGGUUUACAGAUAGCCAGGAUGAAUCCAGCCUUCAUAAGCCGGCUUCCUUGAAACUUGAAUAAAGCGGCCCGUGAUGUAUGCUGUUACUCUGGCUGCGUACUCCUGAAAAGUCUUUGAGCAAGACCAGACUUUAUCUAGGGUUCAAAUGUCGAUUGGGCACACUAUGAAUCAGGCUCACAAAACGCACGAACAAUCCAGUGGCUCAGGCUAGUUUCAUUGAAGAAGACACUUUGGCUUGACAGCCUACCAAAGCCUCGAAUUUCUUCUAAUUUUUUAUUUUUAUUCUUUAUAUGAUUUUUUCGCUGCUUUCUGUUUUUUGCAAGUCGGGCCCAGCUACCCUUUUUACAGCUCAUAUUUGAAGCAUACUUUGGGUUUCUACAACCCGUCAGGAGGACAGAUUCUAAGUCGCCAGAGUAUCAUGUUUAGAGUUAUAGCUCUAACACCUCUAACUGCAUGAAGCUGAUAAGCCGGCAGUCUAAGCAUAUACUACAGGUAUGACACCUUAUUUCACAAUUUUCAGAUCGGCCCUGGUUAUGGACUUUUCGUCCUCAGUGGCUUUAAUUGGGUGUCAUGACCCGCCCGGUGGUAAGCCGCCAGGGCGCUUAUAUUUUCUUUGCAUGCUGGAUAAUAAUCAUUCAGAUCUGCAUAAGUCAAAGGCUAUCAUACUCAUAAGGGUUUUUAAACCGGCAGAUCAGCAGUAUUAAGAAAAAGGCAGAAACAUGCAUGAUGGCACAACAGAUUCAAGUUUUUACUACCCUAUUACAUGGUUUCAUGAGCCGAAUGAGAUCAAGUGUUUUUCAAAAGAUCAAAGGUACAAACCACCCGGCGGUUCAUUCUUCUUGGCCUGGCUGUGGGUCACCCCUUGCCGGUUCUUCAUCCUCCUCCGCUGUCUGGAAGUUUGGUGUUGACCAAUCAAAGCCCCGCAAGGCGUAGAAUUCAGCUUCGUCAUAAAUAAGAUUGGACGGGUCAAUUUCAGGGGCGAAGGUGUGCUUACGAAUUGGAGGAAUCAAAUCCAUCACUUUAUACGCAAGAGUAUGCAUCUUCUGGUUCUCUGCAUCGUAAGCCGGCUGAUAUUUGGAGAGAUUGGUUUCUUCAGCAAUGAGUGUCGCAUGAGGACGGAUUUCUUUAACACAAGUGGCGAAGUCUUGUUGAUCAAAAUAAGUCCCAUCUUCCUUCAGACUUGGAUAUCCACUGGCUACGCCGGCCGGGUCUAACUCUGGUACCCAUGCCUUAGCACGGCUCAAAGCUGUCACAGCACCGGCUCUCGCACAAGACCGCUUUAUCUCUUGAAUUCUAGUGGGCAUGAUUGACAAUUUCUUCAACACAUCACUUAACAGAUUGGGUCCUUGGUUUGUUGGAGAAAUGGUAGCGAAGGUACGCUGAGCUCCGGUAUACAACUGCUCGACAAGAGUAUAGACCGCCUUGAGCUUCACAAGCAUGUCCUGGUUAAGGUUGCUGCUCCUGGGACUUGAGUAAAUCACAGAUCGGUUAAAUGGCGGUUUAUAUUACUAUGACAAGUAUUUACUGUGGAUGAAUAACAAGGCGACUCACCAAAGAUAGCAGAAACCAUCUGAGAUACACGGAGCUUUAAGCCAGUGAGCUCAGUGGUUACCUCUCGAAGAGCUGCCUCUGCUUUUUCAGCUCGCUGUAUUAAGGCAGUCUUUUCUUCAGCCCAAGUCUUUUUCUCCUCCUCAAAAUUGGUCUUCAAUUUUUCCGACUCAGCCACACUAAAUUGGAACUUUGACUCGGCUUUUUGAGUCCCGGUUCCCUGAGUCGCCAGCCAGGUCUUUGCAUCAUUUAAUUGAGAUUCCAGUUCAGCAGUGGCAGCCUGCAUAAAGCGCAGAACUUGUCAAAUACAUUCAUGGCGGAUUACAACAAUAUAAGUCCCAAGUCCUUUGCAAGAAACAACACUUGGCACUUGGGGGCUAAUGUCUGUCAAAGCAAUUUUUCAAGGAAACAGCUCUUAUAAAUAAAGUGCCAAGCACUUUGCAAGCAACACUACUUGGCACUUGGGAUCUAAUGCAUAUUUCUUGAAACUUAUUAAUGAUGAGCCCGAUAUGCUGUAAACAGUCUCAGCCGACUCAUGGGGGCUAUGCAGUUAAGUUCUACUUUCUUACACAAUGAUAAAUAGGACCGGCUUAUUCAUGCUGAUUAAACCGACCCUUGGGGACUACGGAUGCAAAAUUAAACUACUUCAACAUCCGGUUUAAAUUUUAAACCGGACUUGGAGGGAGUCUAUGACAGAAGCUUAUGAAUUCUUCUAAGUCUACAGCCUAUUCAAUCUUAUCAUAGCCAGUAGACUUGGGGGCUGGCAGGAUGUACAUAACUUAUUUAUAAGGCCGGAAGGAUACGUGGCAUACGCUGGAAUCGAGGAGACAGAAAAGUGGAUAUGUCACGGCGUGAGCGCCUCGAUUUUCGAAAGGGUCAGUUAAGAAAAAGAUUUAUUUGGGAUGUGCGUCAUAUUAAUUAUAGGUGACGUCACGGCGGGUUACCGCAAUUGCCGUAAAUGAUGUCAUGGAGGGUUAUACCGUGGCACAGGAAGAUGAAGAAGGGUUUUUUCUAAAAGUUGAAGAUUGACAUGAACAAGUUCAAAUCAACCUGGGGCCUAAUGUUGGGGAUAUGACUAUCAGAUAUGACCCGCCCAGGAGGGGCCGGGUCAUCCUUAUGGCGGUUCAUCUAAAUGAAGCCCAAGAGUAUACUAAGGAUGGCGGUUCAUAGAUAGGCAUGUUAAAAGGCCCAAGUCUGGGGGCGGCUUAAGGCCCGUAAGUGUAAAUCGCCAUGUAUAUGUCAACUUGUAUUAUAAGGCAUGUAAGAUAAGUCACCGAGCCGGACACAUUUGUAUGAGCCGGCCGGGACUCUGUAGGCCGCAGGGCAUCGACCCAUGGAUAUAAGGGGACGACCCGGCAGCGGCUUAGGGCAAGAAACAACAAGUCGAAAGCCAGGCAAAGUGUCUUUGCUCCCUGGUAAUCGAAACCCUAGCAAUACCACCUCAAACUGGAGUAGGCCUUUACCUUCACUACAAGGGGUCGAACCAGUAUAAACUCUCUGUGUCCUUUGUCUGUUUUAACCCCUUUAAGCUAACCUCGUCACAAUGGCUCCACAACUAAGUCCUUCUACGAGGACAUCUGCCGUGACACUUCCACGACAGCAUGGCUGGGCUCCAUCGUCCGCCUCCACCAACACCCUCUCCGUGACCUGCCACACGGCCCGCAGCCGUCCCUGUCGCUCCCGCGCCUUCUCCAGCUCCUCCGCCGACACCUCCUUCUCCCUUACCACCACCUCCGCCCUACUCUUCGCGUCAGCCCUGGCAGCAUGCGACCUCACCGACAGCGGCCAGUCGCCCGUGCCUUCACAUUCACCUUUGAUUUGGCAAGGGUCGCGCCGCCCAAUGACGGGGAGGCCAUCGCGUUGUCGUCCCUCGGCUGCAGCGGAAUCCGCCACAUGCCCCCAAACCUGGCCUCCGACGCCAUCGGACUGGAGGAGGAGCCCCACUAGCGUCUCUCAUGGCGUGAAUGGCGGGUGCGGUAGAUGUGGUGGUGUGGCAGGUGCGGCAGAUCCUAGGGGCCGGAGGGGAUAAGGGAGGUAGGGAGGGGAGAGGCAGGACAAAGGAGAGAGAGGGUGCGGUGCACUUUUGUUGACAGAUAGUAGUAGCGCAGUAGAACCUCACGCGCUACAACUAUUUAUUAGCGGUAGCGUGUGUGGUGCAACCCAUGCUACUACUAUGACCUGUCUGCGGGGCACAAUUAGAAUUAUUUACUAGUAGCGUGUCUUUUAGGUCGCGCGCUACCAGUAAUAUUUACUAGUAGCGUUGGUAAAUAGAACACGCUACUAGUAAGUAGCAGUAGCGCGGGUCAAAAUAAAGCGCUACUAGUAAGCGUCUGUCUAUAAGCUUUUCCCUAGUAGUGCUUCGGUGUCAUCAUAUGAAGGGGAGGAAACUCACCCCCAUGCCACCCCCCCCCCACACACACAACCUUAGGGCAUCUCCAGCGCGCCCCCAACAGGGCCCCCCAGGCCACUUUUUUGGCGCCGGCGCCGAAAAAACGGCCCAGUCGGGCCCCCAGGACGCCGAAAAUCGCCGGUUCGGACCUUUUUUCCGCCCGGCGGUCACAGGCCGAACCCGACGCGCUGGGGAGCAGUUGGGGGUUCCGACGCUAGGGAAAAGCACGCUUGGCCCACACCGACAGGGGAAAAGUCAAGGUUUUCUUCCCCCGACUCGCCUCGCACCCCCCGCGCCCUCGGCCACCACUAGCUAUAUCCCGGCGACGGCCACCGCCCUACUCCGCUAGAUAGCCAUUCCCCGCCGAAAAGUAGUAGCGCUUCACCGCGGCAGCCCCUCCCACAGCAGUUGGGCGUUUCUGGCCGCCGUUUCCGGCCGCGGAGGCGCGGUUUAACAGCGGGUACACGCCCACCGAGCGCAAGGUGUUUGGCGUUUUGCCUGCCUCGGCGAUGGACUCGGAUGAGGAGGAAGAGCUCGCCGCGCUGCUGGAGGAGGAAGCCGCGGCCGAUGUCCAGGAAGAAGAGCAUCUCAUGGUGCUUGCCGCCCUCGCCCAGCUGCUGGCGAGCAAUGAAAAGCCGCGGCGAGGUAGCUCGGCGCCGGGGCGGAUGAAAGCAAAGAACCGGCAUCGUCUCCAAGGCUACUGCAUGCUCUACUCCGACUACUUCGCUGAUGCUCCACUUCAUGGCGAGAGAACAUUUCGGCGCCGUUAUCGGAUGAGCCAAAAGCUCUUCCUCAGGAUUGUGAAUUCCAUCCGGGAGUUCGACAACUACUUCAAGUGCAAGAUGGAUUGCACUGGCGCUCUUGGAUUCACCUCCAUCCAGAAGUGCACGACAGCGAUGCGGAUGCUUGCAUAUGGAGCUCCCAGUGAUUCACUCGACGACUAUGGGUGCAUGGCCGAGUCCACCAGCAUAGAGUGUUUCUACAAGUUCUGUCGGGCAGUGGUGGCAGUGUUUGGGCCACAAUACUUGAGAACACCCAAUGCGGAAGACACUUCUCGGAUCCUAGCCCAGAAUGCAGCAAGAUGAUUUCCUGGGAUGCUUGGAAGCAUCGACUGCAUGCAUUGGAAAUGGAAGAAUUGCCCAUUUGGUUGGCAGGGGAUGUACAAAGGCGCCAAAGGCGGUUGCAUUGUGGUGCUUGAGGCGGUAGCCACACAGGACCUCUGGAUUUGGCACUCCUUCUUUGGUAUGCCAGGAACUCACAAUGACAUCAACGUGCUGUAGUGCUCUCCUGUUUUUGCCAACACUAGUAGAAAAAGGGUCAAUCGUGAAGCACAUUAGUGCCGGUUUGUAUUUGAGCCGGCACUAAUGUAUACAUUAGUGCUGGUUCCAACGGCUAGCCGGGCCACUUACAUUAGUACCGGUUCGUGGCGAACCUUUAACACCGGUUCGUGCCACGAACCGGUACUAAUGAGAGUGGUGGCAGGAUGUUGCCAGAGUGGGGCCCCUCCAGCACCUUUAGUACCGGUUCGUGCCACGAACCGGUACUAAAGGUCGUCCUAUAUAAACCCUUCGUCCACCAGCACUCUGUUCUUCCCCCUUUCCCCUCUCUGGCCCUCUCCUCUGUUCUUCCCUUCUUCCUCUUGAGUUCAUCACAAAAUUUGCCCAAAAUUUGUCAAGAUUUGAAGGCCCUCAUCCAUUCAAAUGAUCACAAAGGUUAGCAACUUUGUCCUUUCAUCUCUCAUUGCUAGAUUAGCUCUUGCAUUGGUUUAUAUAGUGAUUAAUUUGUGAGUUUAGUAAUUUGGGAGGAUAUAUAUAAAUAUGUGCUAGUAUUUGAUUUAUAUGCAAUUUGAGGUCAAAAAUAACACUUAGUUUGCAUAUGUAGGUGUGGUUUACUUAGUGCCUUCUAAAUCUCCAUCGUAGCCACCGUCGAUCGCCCCCACCGUCCCGUCGCCGGCACCACCUUGUGGUGAGCCUCUUUUUCAUGAAAUUUUAUAUAAAAAUUGAUGUGUGUGAUUUGGAUAUAUAGUUACUCGUAUAAUUAUCUUACUCGUACGUUGUUUGUUAUACAUAUAGUGCCAUGGUUUUGAUAUCCGUCCCCGUCGGCCCUAGUCCUUGUUAUGAUUCGGAUGUGGUAUGUAUAUUCUCUUUUAAAACUAGUUGCAUUUCAUGUUUAUGACAAAUUAUGCCCAUCAAGUUGACAUAGAAAUUUUUUCUAGGAGGUAUCUGAACCUGAAAUUCCAACCGGCCCUAUUGCCGAGAGGUUAAAUUUAGUUGAAAGAGAAAACGAGUACUUGAAAGAAAAAUAGAAAAGAAUUGAGGGGGAGAAGAUGGAAUUGGAGUUGCAUGUUGCCGAUGUCGUCAAUGAUCACAAGAUCAAGAUGGAGAAAAUGCGCUUGAAGAUUAGAAAGAUUAGAAAAUAUGCCAUCGAUAGUGAAGCUUGGUAUCAUUAUGUUGUUGGAUCCAUUGUUACCUUACUUGCGAUCUUGAUCGUAUUUGUUGUUGCAUUUAAAUGCUUUAGCUAGAGAGUUAUUUGUUUGUUGCAUUUAAGUGUUGUAUGAACUUGUAUUAAUUUGGUCUAUUUGGUGUUGUGUAAUGAAGAUGAGCCGGCAAUGGAUGUACGAUGACCGAUGCUCUCCCCAGUUUGUUGAGGGCGUGCGUACUUUUCUACUUGCGGCUGAGGCAAACAAGCGGGCGGAUGGUUUUAUGCCUUGUCCAUGUGCUCGCUGUAAGAAUGGUCACAAUUACUCUACGUCAAGAACCAUUCACGUCCACCUGUUUAAGACCGGUUUCAUGCCCCAUUAUAAUGUUUGGACCAAGCACGGAGAAAGAGGGGUUAUGAUGGAAGACAAUGAAGAAGAAGAGGACGACGACAGCUAUCCUGGCCAUGGGUUCCCUGAAUACAAUGAUACAACAAUGGGGGAAGAAGCUGAGCCGGUAAUGCGGGAAGAAGCUGUGCUGGCAAUGCGGGAAGAAGCUGAAGAAGAGGAAUCAGAUGAGCCCGUUGAUGAUCUAGGUCGGGCCAUUGCCGAUGCAAAGAGAAACUGCGCAAGUGAUUUGGAGAAGAAGAAGUUGCAGCGCAUGUUAGAGGAUCACAAAAAAUUGUUGUACCCGAAUUGCGUAGGUGACAAGAAAAAGCUGGGCACCACACUGGAAUUGCUGCAAUGGAAGGCAGAGAAUGGUGUAUCUGGCAAGGGAUUUGGAAAGUUGUUGGUAAUGAUAAAGGAUAUGCUUCCAAAGGACAACGAAUUGCCCGAGAGUACGUACGAAGCAAAGAAGGUUGUCUGCCCUCUAGGGUUAGAGGUGCAGAAGAUACAUGCAUGCCCUAAUGAUUGCAUCCUCUACCGCGGUGAGUACGAGGAUUUGAACGCUUGCCCGGUAUAUGGUGCAUUGCGCUAUAAGAUCUGCCGCGAUGACCCUGGUGAUGUCGAGGGCCGGCGCCCCAGGAAGAAGAUUCCUGCCAAGGUGAUGUGCUAUGCUCCUAUAAUACCACGGUUGAAACGUUUGUUCCAAAACAAACAGCAUGCCAAGGCGAUGCGAUGGCACAGAGAAGACCGUAAGAAAGACGGAAAGUUGAGAGUACCCGCUGACGGGUCACAGUGGAGAAAAAUCGAAAGAAAGUACAGGAAGGAGUUUGCAGAUGACGCAAGGAGCGUAUGGUUUGGUCUAAGCGCAGAUGGCAUUAAUCCUUUUGGGGAGCAGAGCAGCAACCAUAGCACCUGGCCUGUGACUCUAUGUUUGUAUAACCUUCCUCCUUGGUUGUGCAUGAAGCGGAAGUUCAUUAUGAUGCCAGUGCUCAUCCAAGGCCCUAAGCAACCCGGCAACGACAUUAAUGUGUACCUUAGGCCAUUAGUUGAAGAACUCUUACAACUGUGGAAUGGAACAGGUGUACGUGCGUGGGAUGAGCACAUGGAGGAAGAAUUUGACCUAAAGGCGUUGUUGUUCGUGACCAUCAAUGAUUGGCCUGCUCUCAGUAACCUUUCAGGACAGACAAACAAGGGAUACCGCGCAUGCACGCACUGUUUGGACGAUACCGACAGUAUAUAUUUGGCUAAUUGUAAGAAGAAUGUGUACCUGGGACAUCAUCGAUUUAUUCCGAGCAGGCAUCCCGUAAGAAAGAAAGGCAAGCAUUUCAAAGGUGAGGCAGAUCACCGGACGAAGCCUCGCCACCGUACUGGUGCUGAUGUACAUGAUAUGGUCAAGGAUUUGAAGGUGGUCUUUGGAAAGUGUCCUGGUGGACAACCUGUUCCGAAUGACGCUGACGGACGUGCACCCAUGUGGAAGAAGAAAUCUAUAUUUUGGGACCUGCCCUAUUGGAAAGACCUCGAGGUCCGCUCCGCAAUCGACGUGAUGCACGUGAUGAAGAAUCUUUGUGUGACCCUGCUUGGCUUCUUGGGCGUGUAUGGGAAGACAAAAGAUACACCUGAGGCACGGGAGGACCAGCAACGUAUGCACGGAAAAGACGGCAUACAGCAGGGUCAUGCAAGCUACGCUCUUACCAAAGAAAAGAAGGAAAUCUUCUUUGAAUGCCUGCUCAGUAUUAAGGUACCGUCUGGCUUCUCGUCGAAUAUAAAGGGAAUAAUAAACAUGGCAGAGAAAAAGUUCCAGAACCUAAAGUCUCAUGACUGCCACGUGAUUAUGACGCAACUGCUUCCGGUUGCAUUGAGGGGGCUUCUACCGGAAAACGUUCGAUUAGCCAUUGUGAAGCUAUGUGCAUUUCUCAAUGCAAUCUCUCAGAAGGUAAUCGAUCCAGAAAUCAUACCAAGGUUACAGAAUGAUUUGGUGCAAUGUCUUGUCAGUUUUGAGUUGGUGUUCCUACCAUCCUUCUUCAACAUCAUGACGCACGUCCUAGCUCACCUAUGCGAAGAGAUUAACAUUUUGGGUCCUGUAUUUCUACACAAUAUGUUCCCCUUUGAGAGGUUCAUGGGAGUCUUAAAGAAAUAUGUCUACUUAAUGAAACACAAGUCUGAGACCUUUGAAAAGUUCUGUCACAUCCCUAGUUCUGGUAUGGUCCUAGGCUUGCUUUGUGCAUCAUGUUUAAAUUUCAAAUGAAAUUGAAAUGGGGAUGUUUCAAACCCUAGCACCAAAGAAAAUUCAAAUAGGUUCAACUUUAAAAUGGAUUUUCAAUGAACCCAAAAUGCUAUUCAAAAAAUGUUCAUGCUCUUUGGAUAAUGUUGGGAACAACAACCAGAGGUGAUGCACAUUUUUACUACACAUUUUGGAUUUUUGAAUCAAUGCAUAAAUAUUUGAUUUGGAGCUGUUUAAAUUAUAUAAAUAUUUUAAUGGCUCCAAAAGUGUUGGGAAUUGGUGAGGGCCUCUGGAAUAUUAUAUCUAGAUGCCACAAAUAUUUUCAUCAUUUAUGAAAAUGUUUUAACAUUUCUUUUUGGUACAAAACAAAUGUCAGAAAUAGAAAAAGAAAACAGGAAAUAAGAAAAACACCUACUCAUGCCACUUACCUGGCGGCCCAGCUGGCCAGGCCACCAGGGGUAGCCCCGUCUUCUACCUCUUGACAGUAGGCAGAGGAGAAGUCGGGCACGACGCACGCGCGCGGCCACCGCGCACCACCUCCACCCUGCCUGGCUGUCCUCCCGUCGCCUGGACCUUCCCUCGCAUCGCCACGCACCUCCUUCAACCCCUGCGUCCCUCCCCUCUUGCUUUGGAUUCCUCCCCCCUUCUCUGCUCGCUUCCGAAUGGAGCCCGUCACCGCCGCUCACCAUUGCCGCACCCGAAGCCUCCCCCUCGACCCCUUGACGUGCCCAGUAGCUCCGCUACCUCGUUCUCGACCUCCUCCCCAAGCCAAGCGACGCCGGACACCGCCGGACGCCCUCACCGCUGUCUUCUUCAACCUUGGGCAACCGAGAUCGCCGGCGACCAUGCGCCCGCUCCGACGCUUCCCCGAGCUCGCUGAGGCCACCGAACGAACCGCUGUGAGCUCCUGCGUGGAUUCCCUCCUUCCUCCCCUUCGAUUUCGAGCCGUAGACAUCGCCCCCUUGACGACUGUAGCCGCCGCCGCUUGAGCUCGUCGUCGGUGCAGCUCCGGCGACCAAAUGGUCACCCCGGCGAGUCCAACUUGCUCCCCGCAACGCGUAGCGCCCUGCCAGACCUUCGCCUCGCUCGUUAGCACACCGCAGCGCUAACCCGCACCAGCCUUGAACUCCGACAGCCGCCGCGAUCUCCAUUCCGGUGAGCUCCGGCCUCCCCAGCUCAUCCCACAUGCUCCACUGGAUGCAGACGACGACGGGCUACGCCCCGGUGGUCUCCGAGCGCUUUUCCGCCGCCUGUAGCCCAUUCCGGCGAAGCACCGCCACGCGGUUUGGUCGUCGCUGGCCGAACUCCGGCGAGGCUGACAUGGCGACUUAAUUAGCGCUAAUCCCCACCAUUAGCCACCCCACCAGCCGCUGACAGUGGGCCCCAGAGCCAAGUCAAACCCUGGUCAGUGCGGGUUUGACCCGGGGUUAACCCCAGUGUCACUGACGUGUGGCCCCCACACGUCAGGUUUGACCUGGUCAGCCCUGCUGACGCCUCUGUGACGUCACGCUGACGCAGUAAUUGUUUUUCUGGAUUUUAAAUAAUUCAGAGAAUUUCAGAAAAUAGUUAAAACUUCUAAAAAUCAUAGAAAUUAAAUCGUAGCUCAGAAUGAAAUAAAUUAUAUAUGAAAAAUUAUCAGAAAAAUGCAAGGAAUCCAUUUAUGCCAGUUUCAUGCAUGAAAAACCAACUUAUACUUGCGGUAUAGGUGAAAAUGUAAUAAUGGCAUGUUAUAUACUUAAAUUGGGGUUUGCAUAUGAACCCUUGGUUCAUAUGGACUUCAACCAAAUUGAUGCUAGAUGCAUUAGGGCAAAUCAUAGCAUCUUUGAAAUGUCAUCUUCAUGCAUCAUAUUGUUGCAUAUGGUUGUUUAUUGAUUGCCGGAACUAUCCCCUCUCGAUAGGUUCUACUCCGGAAGGUGUCCCGAGUACCUGUCUGGGGAGCAGUGCUUCUUCGUGGAUCUAUCAGGCAAGCAAACCCCCUUGAGCAUCUCGAUAAAUCCCACUCGCUCGCUCCUGCUCCUUUCACUGCAUUAGGACAACAACGAUUCAAAACUGCUACUUUCUGCUGUGGUAGCUGAACCCAUUCCUCUGCAUGACCUGUCAUUGCCACAGUAAAUAGUUGAAACCCACUAGCAUGAGUAGGAUUUGCUUGAGCCUUGUUGUGCCUGCUCAUCCAUGCUUGUUUUCUUUAUGCCAGCUAUGCUUAGAGUUGUGUCAGGUCUGAUUCAUCGGGAAUGAAUCGGAGUGGUGAACAUGUCCUACCGGUAAAGGCUAAGUGUGUGAACACGUUUUGGUAAUGGUAGCGAUGAGAGGCCAUGUAGGAGUACAUGGUGGGUUGUCUCAUUGGAACCGUCCUUAAGCACUGAGUUCUGUGUAUGUUAUCCAAGUCCAGUUACUACCACACAUUGGGUUCCGGUUAUCCGGCCCCUCUCGGCUUAUUAAUCCGCUUGAUCUCUGUCCAGAAGUUGCAACUAGUUUUUGGCGUUUGUAGGUAGUGCUACUUGUCUACCAGGUGGUGUCCGACGGGACGGGCUUGGGACAGACUAGGCACCGUGGCACGGUGUACCAAGUGGCACCCGGAUGGUGGGCUUGGGAACCCUGCACACAUCGUUUGGGGCCGUGAGCGACACCCCGAUCGGAUCUCCUUGCGGAUGGAACCCGAAUAGGCGAUAAACCUGGAUGAGAGACUUGUGUGGUUAGUCAGGUCGUGGCCGACACCCUCGCCCAGCUUCCGCUUGAAGGUUGCCGAGGUACAUGACGUGUACAGCGCUAUAAGUGGCGGGAGCGUGUGUGACGAAGUACACCCCUGCAGGGUUAAUAUUAUCUAUUCGAAUAGCCGUUUUCCUCGGAUAUGGAAACUUGGAGGACUUAUGUAGUACAUAGACAACUUGAAGUGGAUACUCUAAAAUCCGCAAGAUAAGCGUGAGUGCUAUGGAUGGCCUUCUUGUAGGGAGACAGGAACGGAUCCACAGUGGAGUAUUGAUAUGGCGAAUAUGUGGACUCGUGUGGGUCAUCUCACCCCAAAGAAGUUUCAGAUACUCGUAGUAUAGGUUAGCCACUGAAUCAAAGCUGGCUUGCUGCUGUUAAAACUCCACCCCCCCCCCUUGUUGAUAAUGUUGCAUAUGUUGAUAGUUCUGAUGUAAGACUUGCCGGGUACCUUUGUACUCACGUUUUCUUAUUUAUGUUUUGUAGUUGGUUACACUAGUGACUUCGACGAGUAGCUUGUAUCCCAGCUAUGAUCUUGUACCCUUGGGAGGGUCGUGUUUAGUCAGGCUUCUUAGUCUUUUCCUUUUGUAGUUGUCUGUACUCAGACAUGUAAUGCUUCCGUUGCUUGUAUGCUCUGAAUGAUGGGUCAUGGGACCCCUAUUUGUAUUAAUGUUAUGUGGCUCUUCUGGGCCUUUAUCUAUAUGAGUUAGAGUUAUGUUGUGAUGCCAUGUUAUACAGCACAUACUUGCAUGUUAUGCGUACGUGUAAUGUGUAUUGCUAUGUGUGGGAUCCGUCAACCUAGUUGUUUUACCUCUGGUAGCCUCUCUUAUGGGGAAAUGUAGUCUUGUGCUUCCAUGUGCCAUAGUAGUCUGCUACAGCCCGGUUCACCGGAGUCCUGCUAGCCUAGCACUACUGCUCCGGAACACUUGACUGGCCGGCAUGUGAAUCACUUCGUUCCUGUGUCUGUCCCUUCGGGAAAUGUCACGUGGUGAUAUCUGGAGUCCUGCCUAGCCUGCUAUAGCCCGGGUUCCCGGAGUCCUGCUAGCCCAGUGCUACAACCCGGAUUCAUACGAUAUUGACCGACAUGCUCGUGGUUGAUUCAUGUAUGCCUGUCCCUGUAAGUUAGUGCCACUUUGGGUUCACGACUAGUCAUGUCGGCCUGGGUUCUCUAUCAUAUGGAUGCUAGAGACACUAUCAUAUACGUGAGCCUAAAGGCGCAAACGGUCCCGGGCCAGGUAAGGUGGCACCCGUGGGAAUACCGUGCGUGAGGCCGCAAAGUGAUAUGAAGUGUUACAUGCUAGAUCGGUGUGACUUAGGAUCAGGGUCCCGACAAGUUCAAGGAAUUUCAGAGUGAGGUUGAGAAUCAACGUGACAGGAAAAUCAAGUUCUUGCGAUCAGAUCAUGGGGGAGAAUACUUGAGUCACAAAUUUGGCACACACUUAAGAAAAUGUGGAAUAGUUUCACAACUCACGCCGCCUGGAACACCUCAGCGUAAUGGUGUGUCCGAACCGAUUUACCGCUAUCAUUUUGGGGCUAUGCUUUAGAGACUGCCGCAUUCACUUUAAAUAGGGCUCCGUCGAAAUCCGUUGAGACGACACCGUAUGAAUUAUGGUUUGGGAAGAAACCUAAGCUGUCAUUUCUAAAAGUUUGGGGAUGCGAUGCUUAUGUCAAGAAACUUCAACCUGAAAAGCUCGAACCCAAGUCGGAAAAAUGUGUCUUCAUAGGAUACCCUAAGGAAACCAUUGGGUCUACCUUCUACCUUAGAUCCGAAGGCAAGAUCUUCUUUGCCAAGAAUGGAUCCUUUCUAGGGAAGGAGUUUCUCUCGAAAGAAGUAAGUGGGAGGAAAGUAGAGCUUGAUGAAGUACUGCCUCUUGAAACAGAGAGUAGCGCAGCUCAGGAAAAUGUUCCUGUGGUGCCUGCACCGAUUAGAGAGGAAGUUAAUGAUGAUGAUCAAGAUACUUCGGAUCAAGCUCCUACUGAACUUCGUAGGUCCACAAGGACACAUUCCGCACCAGAGUGGUACGGCAACCCUGUCUUGGAAAUCUUGUUGUUAGACAACGGUGAACCUUCGAACUAUGAAGAAGCGAUGGCGGGCCCAGAUUCUGACAAAUGGCUAGAAGCCAUGAAAUCCGAGAUAGAAUCCAUGUAUGAAAACAAAGUAUGGACUUUGACUGACUUGCCCGAAGAUCGGCGAGCCAUAGAAAAUAAAUGGAUCUUUAGAAGAAGACAGACGCGGAUGGUAAUGUGACCAUCUAUAAGGCUCGACUUGUCGCUAAGGGUUAUCGACAAGUUCAAGGGGUUGACUAUGAUGAGACUUUCUCACCCGUAGCGAAGCUGAAGUCCGUCUGAAUCAUGUUAGCAAUUGCCGCAUUCUAUGAUUAUGAGAUAUGGCAAAUGGACGUCAAAACGGCAUUCCUUAACGGCUUUCUUAAGGAAGAAUUGUAUAUGAUGCAGCCGGAAGGUUUUGUCGAUCCUAAGAAUGCUAACAAGGUGUGCAAGCUCCAACGCUCAAUCUAUGGGCUGGUGCAAGCAUCUCGGAGUUGGAACAUUCGCUUUGAUGAGAUGGUCAAAGCGUUUGGGUUUAUGCAGACUUAUGGAGAAGCCUGCGUUUAGAAGAAAGUGAGUGGGAGCUCUGUAGCAUUUCUCAUAUUAUAUGUGGAUGACAUACUGUUGAUGGGAAAUGAUAUAGAAUUCUUGGAAAGCAUAAAGGCCUAUUUGAACAAGUGUUUUUCAAUGAAGGACCUUGGAGAAGCUUCUUAUAUAUUAGGCAUCAAGAUCUAUAGAGAUAGAUCGAGACGCCUCAUCGGUCUUUCACAAAGUACGUACCUUGACAAUAUAUUGAAGAAGUUCAAUAUGGAUCAGUCCAAGAAGGGGUUCUUGCCUGUAUUGCAAGGUGUGCGAUUGAGCAUGGCUCAAUGCCCGACCACGGCAGAAGAUAUAGAAGAGAUGAGUUGUCAGGACCCCGACUCAAUGCCACAUCGAUCUAGCAUGUAACACCUCAUAUCACUUUGCGGCCUCACGCACGGUAUUCCCACGGGUGUCGCCUUACCUUUGCCCGGGACCGUUUGCGCCUUUUGGCACACGUAUAUGAUAGUGUCGCUAGCAUCCAUAUGAUAAGGAGGCCGGGCUGACAUGGCUAGUCGUAAACCCAAAGUGGCACUAACUUACAGGGACAGGCAUCCAUGACCCAGCAUCGAAUGUGUCGAUCAUCAGCGAGUGAAUCCAGGCUGUAGCACUGGGCUAGCAGGACUCCGGUGAACCGGGCUGUAGCGGGCUAACAGGACUCCGGUAUUCAUCGCGUGACAUUUCCCCGAAGGGACAGACACAGGAACGAAGAAGGACACAUGCCGGCCAGCCUAAGUGUUCCGGAGCAGUAGCAAGCUACCAUGGCUUGGUGGAAACACUAGGAGACAUUUCCUGGUAAGAGAGGCUACUAAGGAUAAACAACUAGAUAGCCAGAUCCCACACAUACCAAGCAUUUCAAUAACAUACACACAAUAUGCUCGAUAUGUGCAAAUACAACAUGGCAUCACAACAUGACUCUACGACUCAAGUAUUAAUUCAAUAGGCUCCGAGGAGCGAGAUAUUACAAACAGGGGUCUCAUGACCCAACAUUCAGAGCAUACAAGUCAAAGCACAUGCGGAAGCUUAACAUGUCUGAGUAUAGACAACUAUAAAAUGAAAAAGGCUGAGAAGCCUGACUAUCUACCAGAUCCUGCCGAGGGCACAAGAUCGUAGCUGAGGUAACAAGCUAAACAUCGAAGACCACGCGGAACUACUAGCGAGACUGAGGUCUCUCUCCAAAACAUAAAAUAGGCAAACGUGAGUACAAAUGUACCCAGCAAGACUUACAUCAAAACUAACUACAUAUGCAUCAUUAUCAACAAAGGGGAUGGUGGGGUUUAACUGCAGCAAACCAGCUUUGACUCGGUGGCUAUCCUGAACUAUGACUGCAAGUAACUCUUUUGAGGUGGCGCACACGAGUCCACAUAUUCACCAUAUCAAUACACCACUAUGGAUCCGCUCCCGUCUCCCUACGAGAACACCAUCCAUAGCACUCACGCUUAUCUUGCGUAUUUUAGAGUAUCCACUUUCGCUUGUCUAUGAACUGAUAUAAGCAACCCAGAAGUCCUUUACCGCGGACAGCUAUUCGAAUAGAUAAUGUUAACCCUGCAGGGGUGUACUUCUUCACACACGCUCUCACCACUUACCGUCGUUUACACGACAUGUACUCGGCAACCUUCAAGCGGAAGCCCAACGUGGGUGUCGGCCACGGCCUGCCUAAACACUCAAGUCUCUAGUCCAGGUUUAUCGCCUAUUCGGGUUCCAUCCAUGAGGAGAUCCGGCCGGAGUUUCGCUCACAGCCCCAAACGAUGUGAACAGGGUUCCCGAGACACCAAACGGGCGCCCGGUACACCGUGCCACGUGCCUACCGCAUCACAGCCCACCCCUCUGGUCAGCGCUGCCCACGGCCUCCAGCAUACUACAAACACCAGAAACUACUUGCAACUCCUGGACAGAGGACAAGGGUGAUUAAGAAGCCGAUAGGGUCCAUUGGUUUCGGGCCCAAUGCGUGGUAGUAGCUGAAUCAUGGAUCACAAACACAGAACUCAGUUCCUGAGGACGGCUUCAAUGAGACAACCCACCAUGUACUCCUACAUGGCCUCUCACCGCUACCUUUACCAAAUCGUGUUCACACACUUAGCUCACACACAGUAGGACAUGUUCACACACCUCUGAUUCAUUCCCGAUGAAUCAGACCUGACACAACUCUAAGCAGUAGCAGGCAUGACAAACAAGCAAGAAUGAGUAGGCACAACAGGGCUCAAACAACUCCUACUCAUGCUAGUGGGUUUCAUCUAUUUACUGUGGAAUGACAGGUCAUGCAGAGGAUAAUGGGGUUCAGCUACCGCAGCAAGUAACAAAUAUGUCGUUGUUGUCCUAAUGCAGUAAAAGAGAGCAGGAGCGAGAGAGUGGGAUUUUAUCGGAAUGAACAAGGGGGUUUUGCUUGCCUGGCACUUCUAAAGAUAGUAUAGUUCUUCAUCGGUGUCAUCGAUCACAUCACCGGUACACGUCUAUCGAGAGGGGACAAUUACCGGCAAACAAGGAAGAACACAAUCAAUGCAAUGCGACAAUAUGAUGCAUGAAUGUGACAUGGCAAUAUGAUGUGAUUUGUGCUGAUGCAACUAAACCAGAUUAAAUGAAGUUGGUUUGAAUCCAAGAUUCAAAUUCAAACUCCACAUGUGGUUAUUUAAAUGCCAUUUAAUUGAAUUGUCCUAAACAGCAGCUAUAAGUUGUUCUAACAUGCAUGAAAAUGGUACAGAUGGAUAGAUUGGAUUUUUCUAAUAAUUUUUCAUAUAUAAAUUAUUUAAUUUGGAGUUACGGUUGAAUUUAUAUGAUUUUUAGAAGUUUAAAUCAUUUUCUGGAAUUUCCUGAAUUAUUUUAAUUCCAGAAAAUAUAUAUUGCGCCAGCAUGACGUCAGCACGACGUCAGCAGUCAACUGCGGCUGACUGGGGUCAAACCUGACGUGCGGGGCCCACUGAUCAUUGUCUCAGGCUGGUAUGUGUCGCUGACAUGUGGGCCCAGUCAACGGCCACGUCAGCUUGGUCAAAGCUGACGUGUGGGCCCACGGUGGUUAGGUUAAAACUUAACAGAAAAUAAUAAAGAUUAAAUAAGGGCGUGGGGCCCAUACGUCAGUGGCUCUGGGGAGGGUUAGCUGGCCGUGAUUAGUGCUAAUCACGCGGCCACGUCGGCUAGUGACACCGGCGACCACGGCGACGGAGGGACCUCGCCGGAGUUGCUCGGGAUGGCGCUACAGACGGUGGUUUGCGACGGGGUUUGGCUCUACGGGGAGCUGGAGGAGUGGCGCAUCCACUGGUGGCGGCGAAUGGAGCUGGGGUGGCCCGAAGCGACGGCAACUACGACGACGGCGGCGGCCGGAGUUCGGGCGACCACGGGUUUGAUGCUGCAGAGAGCAAGCGGGCUAGUUUUUGCGCUAGGCAUGCUCUACGGGAAACUACGAACGCGUAGGGCUCGCCGGGGUGACCAAAUGGUCACCGGAGCUACGCCGGCGGCGAGCCCGGCGGAGGUGAGCUUCGGCCUCAAUGGCGGCGGUGGCUACGAGGCGAAAAUGACGCGGGGAAGAGAAGGGAAUCGACCGGAGGCUCACAUGGUCGCGUAGAGAUGGUCAGCGCGCUCGGGGAAGCGACGACGGUGGCGAAUCGACGGUGAAGAUCCUCGGCGGCCGGUGGUGGAGAAGGCGACGGUGGCGGCGUUGCAGCGCGUCCGGGACCUCGUGGCUUGGUGGAGAGGACGAGGGGGUCGAGGCGGAGCCUCUGGGCGCAACGGCAUGGCGAGGCAGUGGCUGUGGUCACGGCAGCAGCGAGCGGCGGCGAUGAGCGCGCUCGGGCGCGAGAGGGGGAGAGCAGAGAAGGGAGAAGGGGUCGGGAGAGAGUGAGAGAGAGGAGCGAGGGGGCUGCGUUGCGUCACCCGAAGAGGCCAGGGCGAAGCGGCAAGCAGGAGGUGGUCGGGGCGGCGUCGGCGCUCGCCACCGAGCAGCUUCGGGGCGAGGGGGAGGAAGACGACAGAGAGGAGGAGGUGGGCUGGGCCGGCCAGCUCAGAUGGGCCUCCAGGUGGGCUAGAAUGCCAGGUAAGUUACAGGUGAGUGCUCUUUUUAUUUUCUGUUUGUUUUAUUUUUUAAAAUUUAUUUUGCCACUGUUUUGAAUUUAAAAUAAUUCAAACAAUGCCAAAAACUCCUCUGAAUAUUUUUAUUUUGCUAGAUGGACUUUUCCAAAAGCUCAUAAAAUAUUUCAGGGGUAUUUGAAAUUAUAUUCUAAUUAUAUGAAUAUAAUUCAAAUUCAAAUUCAAAUAGCUAAUGAUUUAAAUUCAAAGUCCCAAGAUUAAGUCCUUAAAAAUGUUCAAUAUUUUGGUUGGGACCAGAACCCUUUGCCAAAAUUAUCAAACAUUUAAGAAGAGCAUUUUGGAACAAUGAAUGAGAUUUUAGGGUUUUUGCCCUUCUUUUAUUUAGGGUUUUGAGGCUUCCAAAUUCCUCAGUUCAAGUUUCAAAAAUUUAAACAUGAUGCACAGAUGGAAGCAAGCAUAGGUCAGGCCAGAACUAGGGAUGUGACAACUCACCCCCACUAAACAAGAAUCUCGACCCGAGAUUCAAGUGUAGGGUAAGACGAUGGGGAACGCAACCUAACACAAUCUUCACGAUCCAGGUUGCCCUUCAUAAGAACAUUGAUUCGAUCACCAUCAUUGUCUUGAUGUCUUGCUCCGAGAACGCCAACCGACAUGACAACGAGAGGGGAAAGAAAACUCUAGAAGGAUCAAACUUCUCGAAGGUCGAACAACUCAGGAUUAACUCACGGAAUGAGACAUAGCAACAUCUCUCGAGCUGAGAGGCAAAACAUGCAUCAGGAGCAACAGAAGAAACAAUUUGACGAGGUUUUCAAAGUAGCGAGGGAAAUUGCCAUGAUUCCAAAACGGGGCACCUCAGGGAAGGUGACUUGUAGAUAUAUCCCCUUAGGUGGCAAAAGAAUUACUUUUGAUUCAGAGAUCAUUGAAACUCUUUAAACCAGCCUAAGGCAAUUCUCGAGUGAUCGUUUGGAGGGGGUCGGUAGAAUGGCAUACUCGGACUUGGAUGAUGUGGAUUACCUUGUUGAAGACAACGUAAUGGAUGAUUUUGCUUACCACCGGAAAUGGAAGAGACCCAUGGUAGAAUGGCACAAUGGCGGUGCAAGCUGGGAACAGAAUGCAAAUGCUGGGAAUGAUUCUGGUAACUGGGGAAGAACCCAACAAUAGAGAGUGAAUUCACUGUUUGAAAGGUCAUAGCAUUGCCGAGGAAACUGAGAGGAAUCCCAGUUAGAGCCGAUGAUAACACGUAGCGCUUGUGCGUGCUCUCAAGAACUUGAGCAUUUCCACAAUCAUCAAGGUUUCAUCAACAUCCGUGUCAAGGGUGCUGACAACACAACAUACUACCAUGAUGAAUAGCGAUGGACGAUGCAGAUGCAAAGGAGGAUAACACUUUCUCAGAUUUCACCUUAGCGAGGCCAAGGGAACGAAAUCUGGAUGAUCGACCGAGAGACAUUUAGCACUCCGCUUCUAAUGUUCUCCUUGAUGUGCUAGUGUAACCCAUUCAUAGAUAUGGUUUGAUAUCUAGAACAUCAAGUAAAAAGGUCGGACUUCGGAACACAGAAAUCCAUAGGGGCAACUAGGGAGUAAAUCCUACGAAAUCCCUAUGGGAAGGUGGCCAACUUCCUCAAAUCAAGAUACUACAACAGGAGGUCUUCCGGCUGGGUGUGUUGGCCACGACAUCCACUUUACCGGUUAUCGCGAGACCAAUAUUAUAGUUCUUGGGAAAUGUUCCAACCAUCACAUCUGCCUGAGAUUCAGAUCUGGUUGGUGUCAGAUUAUUCCAGACUCAUCAAGUCUAGAAAGAAAAAUGAAAGUUUACAACACAAAUCGACGAGACGGCGUUGUGAGAUUCUCGGGGAAUGAAUUACGAUAGCAAGCUCCAAAACAUGAGCUGGUUCUGCUACAACAUGUGAACACGCUGUCCCAGACAAACAUGAUCACAUGGUAGUCUUACAAUAAAACACUACCGAGUUCUGGUAGGGAACCAUCAUCGGGGAUAUCAGAGUCCUGUGCAUUACCAUGGAUUAACACUUAACUCCUUUUCCUGAACAAAUCAGUCAGUGGCUUGGGGUGCUACGGAACACAUAUAGAAUGAAGGUUGCAAGCCUCCAGACUACAGAAUACUUCGCACGUGUGCAUGACUGAUUUGGGAUGAUUACAAAGGAAACAAAACAAUCUUCCUCGAAUCCACGGCGGCAACUUGCAUCAAAUGCACAUGAACUAGAGGAAGUCACUUCUUACAUCCGAACAUAUGCUUCAUGAGCUAGCAUGAACAAAUGCUUUCAAAAGUUUUCCAACACUAGCUUAAUGUUCAGCAAAAUUAUGGAGAAGACAAGGAUGUUGUCAAUGGGCUCAACAACAAUUCAUCUGGGUUUCCUUUCAAAAGGAAUUCCAUAGUUAAGUGAACAAGUGAUAGCAUUGGUCAGACCCAAAAGAUAUAAUGGUGUAUGCUCGAGGGAUCAACCACGAGUAAGACAACAUUACGAGCAUCGUUGGUACUGAUUUGAUUUGACGAUAGCCCACACUCAAAUCAAAGGAUUGAUAAGACAAUAGGUCCAGCAACUGAUCACAGGGACCAAUCGAUGAAGAUAUCAUCUUUCUUCAACACACUCUACACAAGAAUAUCCCUUUGGAACGAACUAAGUUAGGCAAGCUUUUAUCUUCCAAUUCUCCAAGUUGUUGUCUAGCUUAACCAACUAGCUCAGGGAUAUCCAACACAGAUUCUUGGAGAAAGGGUGGUUCACAAGAAACCAAUUGAUCACGAGUUCAACAUAACAGUCAGGAAACAACCCGGUAACACUUCCAAGAAGAUAUUUGGAAAGUCACGAACCACCGAUAUGUUAGUAAGCUCGAGAACAAUCUUGCUUUUUGAGGCAAGACGAUAUGAUCAAUAGAGCGAAGAUUUGAAAUAAUCCUAACUCAUCGAUCGAGGAGUGCACCGAGAACAAGGACUAGGUAGCACAAUCAGUCUUAGGGUGACGAUUCAAUAAUCAACACGCUAAGAAUGAGGUUAUCGUCCAUUUAACUACCAAGCAACAGAGUUGCUAGGAGUAUAGAUUUCACACAUCACGAUUCACUUGUCGGCGUCCCGGUUAUAAUAACACGGGAACCAAGGAAUGAAUAUCGAUGGCGAGAAAUAUCACUGUAUCAAGAGUUCAUCGGAUGGUGUGCAAUUCCCAUGAUAACCUUAAUAUAAAGAUGGUGAUACUCCAAGGUAGAACAGAACAAAAGCUGGAUUAGUAUUUGAUCUACGGAACACAACUGCUUUGACCCAAUCCUGGAUAUGGAUGAGGUACCGGAGUUUGUUUCUCCUAGUCAUUCCGCAAUAGAAUGGCUUGACGGACCACAAGAGUAAUAGGCAUCGAUAAACGAACGCAUGCAUACUCUUGACUAUCAAUUGAUAGACGAAGGUCAGUAGACAACUAAAGCGGGACAACUCAAAGGAACAUAUAACUUUUUGAGUUGUGGAUGCGUAGAUUAGUAUGUCGAACCAGGUUCAACAUAAUUCUUCCGGAUAACCCAUGCAGAAAGAUUGAGCUGGCAGAGUCACAAUAUAGCAUGAAGAACUCAUCAAGAGCACUCUGGUUGUGAUCGUUCAGUUCAACGAGGAACUUCUGCCAUAAGUAGUUCAUGGUAUUUGGAAGAAGAAGAUACCACGGACUUCAAUGACUAUCGCAAAGGUUACUAAUAACCUAAGGGAGCUAGCAAUUACUAUCAACAUGAAGUAAGUAGGGUGAAUCUCGGGUUCAAAACCCAAGGAGUAGAAUACCUACUACUAAGUGGCAUCACGGGAUGCUUUCGAGAAUAAAAGCCAGAAUCAUCACACUGGGACACAAAACAUGGCUAGACUACUAGAUGAUCCCCUGAGACACCUAGGGUCAUAAUAAUAACUCCAACAUAAAGGUCGAGGCAGUAGAGUACCUCAACUUAACAAUUUGUGUGAUUAACCUGGCCUAAAAGACAUUGAAACCAGAGGAAAAGGAUUUUGCAAAUGCAUCAGACUCUUUGGAAACCUGGGAUGACUCGGACAGCAUAACGGCUGUAAAUGCUCAGAAAAGAUUUGAGACAUUCACAAAAAUGGUGGCAUAACCACUCAGAAGCACAAUAUCAAGGUCUCGAGAUCAAUAAUUAACAUACAGAGGUAGAAACUGAACUGAGGCUUAAACCAACAAUCUUAUAAGUCUACGGAUUAGUAAUACGUGAUCCUGAUAGAAAAAAGAGAUAGCCUAGUUCUUAAUCCCCGUAGAAGAGAAGAUGAUGACUCAGAUCAGAAGGCCAUGAGGUAUAAGGAGUAAAAAGAGCCUUACGUUCCAUCCCACAAUCAAUUCCCUUAUAUAACUAAAGAAUUUCUAGACUCAACUUCAACCAGUUUGGCUUGGUAAUCCUACAGGCAGUCAAGCUCUGAUACCAACGCUGUCAGGACCCCGACUCAAUGCCACAUCGAUCUAGCAUGUAACACCUCAUAUCACUUUGCGGCCUCACGCACGGUAUUCCCACGGGUGUCGCCUUACCUUUGCCCGGGACCGUUUGCGCCUUUUGGCACACGUAUAUGAUAGUGUCGCUAGCAUCCAUAUGAUAAGGAGCCCGGGCUGACAUGGCUAGUCGUAAACCCAAAGUGGCACUAACUUACAGGGACAGGCAUCCAUGACCCAGCAUCGAAUGUGUCGAUCAUCAGCGUGUGAAUCCAGGCUGUAGCACUGGGCUAGCAGGACUCCGGUGAACCGGGCUGUAGCGGGCUAACAGGACUCCGGUAUUCAUCGCGUGACAUUUCCCCGAAGGGACAGACACAGGAACGAAGAAGGACACAUGCCGGCCAGCCUAAGUGUUCCGGAGCAGUAGCAAGCUACCAUGGCUCGGUGGAAACACUAGGAGACAUUUCCCGGUAAGAGAGGCUACUAAGGAUAAACAACUAGAUAGCCAGAUCCCACACAUACCAAGCAUUUCAAUAACAUACACACAAUAUGCUCGAUAUGUGCAAAUACAACAUGGAAUCACAACAUGACUCUACGACUCAAGUAUUAAUUCAAUAGGCUCCGAGGAGCGAGAUAUUACAAACAGGGGUCUCAUGACCCAACAUUCAGAGCAUACAAGUCAAAGCACAUGCGGAAGCUUAACAUGUCUGAGUAUAGACAACUAUAAAAUGAAAAAGGCUGAGAAGCCUGACUAUCUACCAGAUCCUGCCGAGGGCACAAGAUCGUAGCUGAGGUAACAAGCUAAACGUCGAAGACCACGCAGAACUACUAGCGAGACUGAGGUCUCUCUGCAAAACAUAAAAUAGGCAAACGUGAGUACAAAUGUACCCAGCAAGACUUACAUCAAAACUAACUACAUAUGCAUCAUUAUCAACAAAGGGGGUGGUGGGGUUUAACUGCAGCAAACCAGCUUUGACUCGGUGGCUAUCCUGAACUACGACUGCAAGUAACUCUUUUGAGGUGGCGCACACGAGUCCACAUAUUCACCAUAUCAAUACACCACUAUGGAUCCGCUCCCGUCUCCCUACGAGAACACCAUCCAUAGCACUCACGCUUAUCUUGCGUAUUUUAGAGUAUCCACUUUCGCUUGUCUAUGAACUGAUAUAAGCAACCCAGAAGUCCUUUACCGCGGACACGGCUAUUCGAAUAGAUAAUGUUAACCCUGCAGGGGUGUACUUCUUCACACACGCUCUCACCACUUACCGCCGUUUACACGACAUGUACUCGGCAACCUUCAAGCGAAAGCCCAACGUGGGUGUCGGCCACGGCCUGCCUAAACACUCAAGUCUCUAGUCCAGGUUUAUCGCCUAUUCGGGUUCCAUCCAUGAGGAGAUCCGGCCGGAGUUUCGCUCACAGCCCCAAACGAUGUGAACAGGGUUCCCGAGACACCAAAUGGGCGCCUGGUACACCGUGCCACGUGCCUACCGCAUCACAGCCCACCCCUCUGGUCAGCGUUGCCCACGGCCUCCAGCAUACUACAAACACCAGAAACUACUUGCAACUCCUGGACAGAGGACAAGGGUGAUUAAGAAGCCGAGAGGGUCCAUUGGUUUCGGGCCCAAUGCGUGGUAGUAGCUGAAUCAUGGAUCACAAACACAGAACUCAGUUCCUGAGGACGGCUUCAAUGAGACAACCCACCAUGUACUCCUACAUGGCCUCUCACCGCUACCUUUACCAAAUCGUGUUCACACACUUAGCUCACACACAGUAGGACAUGUUCACACACCUCUGAUUCAUUCCCGAUGAAUCAGACCUGACACAACUCUAAGCAGUAGCAGGCAUGACAAACAAGCAAGAAUGAGUAGGCACAACAGGGCUCAAACAACUCCUACUCAUGCUAGUGGGUUUCAUCUAUUUACUGUGGAAUGACAGGUCAUGCAGAGGAUAAUGGGGUUCAGCUACCGCAGCAAGUAACAAAUAUGUCGUUGUUGUCCUAAUGCAGUAAAAGAGAGCAGGAGCGAGAGAGUGGGAUUUUAUCGGAAUGAACAAGGGGGUUUUGCUUGCCUGUCACUUCUAAAGAUAGUAUAGUUCUUCAUCGGUGUCAUCGAUCACAUCACCGGUACACGUCUAUCGAGAGGGGACAAUUACCGGCAAACAAGGAAGAACACAAUCAAUGCAAUGCGACAAUAUGAUGCAUGAAUGUGACAUGGCAAUAUGAUGUGAUUUGUGCUGAUGCAACUAAACCAGAUUAAAUGAAGUUGGUUUGAAUCCAAGAUUCAAAUUCAAACUCCACAUGUGGUUAUUUAAAUGCCAUUUAAUUGAAUUGUCCUAAACAGCAGCUAUAAGUUGUUCUAACAUGCAUGAAAAUGGUACAGAUGGAUAGAUUGGAUUUUUCUGAUAAUUUUUCAUAUAUAAAUUAUUUAAUUUGGAGUUAUGGUUGAAUUUAUAUGAUUUUUAGAAGUUUAAAUCAUUUUCUGGAAUUUCCUGAAUUAUUUUAAUUCCAGAAAAUAUAUAUUGCGCCAGCAUGACGUCAGCACGACGUCAGCAGUCAACUGCGGCUGACUGGGGUCAAACCUGACGUGCGGGGCCCACUGAUCAUUGUCUCAGGCUGGUAUGUGUCGCUGACAUGUGGGCCCAGUCAACGGCCACGUCAGCUUGGUCAAAGCUGACGUGUGGGCCUAUGGUGGUUAGGUUAAAACUUAACAGAAAAUAAUAAAGAUUAAAUAAGGGCGUGGGGCCCAUACGUCAGUGGCUCUGGGGAGGGUUAGCUGGCCGUGAUUAGUGCUAAUCACGCGGCCACGUCGGCUAGUGACGCCGGCGACCACGGCGAUGGCGGGACCUCGCCGGAGUUGCUCGGGAUGGCUCUACAGACGGUGGUUUGCGACGGGGUUUGGCUCUACGGGGAGCUGGAGGAGUGGCGCAUCCACUGGUGGCGGCGAAUGGAGCUGGGGUGGCCCGAAGCGACGGCAACUACGACGACGGCGGCGGCCGGAGUUCGGGCGACCACGGGUUUGAUGCUGCAGAGAGCAAGCGGGCUAGUUUUUGCGCUAGGCAUGCUCUACGGGAAACUACGAACGCGUAGGGCUCGGCGGGGUGACCAAAUGGUCACCGGAGCUACGCCGGCGGCGAGCUCGGCGGAGGUGAGCUUCGGCCUCAAUGGCGGCGGUGGCUACGAGGCGAAAAUGGCGCGGGGAAGAGAAGGGAAUCGACCGGAGGCUCACAUGGUCGCGUAGAGAUGGUCAGCGAGCUCGGGGAAGCGACGACGGUGGCGAAUCGACGGUGAAGAUCCUCGGCGGCCGGUGGUGGAGAAGGCGACGGUGGCGGCGUUGCAGCGCGUCCGGGACCUCGUGGCUUGGUGGAGAGGACGAGGGGGUCGAGGCGGAGCCUCUGGGCGCAACGGCAUGGCGAGGCAGUGGCUGUGGUCACGGCAGCAGCGAGCGGCGGCGAUGAGCGCGCUCGGGCGCGAGAGGGGGAGAGCAGAGAAGGGAGAAGGGGUCGGGAGAGAGUGAGAGAGAGGAGCGAGGGGGCUGCGUGGCGUCACCCGAAGAGGCCAGGGCGAAGCGGCAAGCAGGAGGUGGUCGGGGCGGCGUCGGCGCUCGCCACCGAGCAGCUUCGGGGCGAGGGGGAGGAAGACGACAGAGAGGAGGAGGUGGGCUGGGCCGGCCAGCUCAGAUGGGCCUCCAGGUGGGCUGGAAUGCCAGGUAAGUUACAGGUGAGUGCUCUUUUUAUUUUCUGUUUUUGUUUUAUUUUUUAAAAUUUAUUUUGCCACUGUUUUGAAUUUAAAAUAAUUCAAACAAUGCCAAAAACUCCUCUGAAUAUUUUUAUUUUGCUAGAUGGACUUUUCCAAAAGCUCAUAAAAUAUUUCAGGGGUAUUUGAAAUUAUAUUCUAAUUAUAUGAAUAUAAUUCAAAUUCAAAUAGCUAAUGAUUUAAAUUCAAAGUCCCAAGAUUAAGUCCUUAAAAAUGUUCAAUAUUUUGGUUGGGACCAGAACCCUUUGCCAAAAUUAUCAAACAUUUAAGAAGAGCAUUUUGGAACAAUGAAUGAGAUUUUAGGGGUUUUGCCCUUCUUUUAUUUAGGGUUUUGAGGCUUCCAAAUUCCUCAGUUCAAGUUUCAAAAAUUUAAACAUGAUGCACAGAUGGAAGCAAGCAUAGGUCAGGCCAGAACUAGGGAUGUGACAUGAGUGUCAUCCCCUAUGCCUCAGCCAUAGGGUCUAUUAUGUAUGCCAUGCUGUGUACCAGACCUGAUGUAAACCUUGCCGUAAGUUUGGUAGGUAGGUACCAAAGUAAUCCCGGCAAGGAACACUGGACAGCGGUCAAAAAUAUCCUGAAGUACCUGAAAAGGACCAAGGAUAUGUUUCUCGUUUAUGGAGGUGGCGAAGAGCUCGUCGUAAAGGGUUACGUCGACGCUAGCUUCGACACAGAUCUGGAUGACUCUAAGUCACAAACCGGAUACAUCUAUAUUUUGAAUGGUGGGGCAGUAAGCUGGUGCAGUUGCAAGCAAAGCAUCAUGGCGGGAUCUACAUGUGAAGCAGAAUACAUGGCAGCCUCGGAGGCAUCACAAGAAGCAAUCUGGGUGAAGGAGUUCAUCACCGACCUAGGAGUCAUACCCAAUGCGUCGGGGCCGAUGACUCUCUUCUGUGACAACACUGGAGCUAUUGCCCUUGCCAAGGAGCCCAGGUUUCACAGGAAGACCAGGCAUAUCAAGCUUCGCUUCAACUCCAUUCGUGAAAGUAUUCAAAAUGGAGACAUAGAAAUUUGUAAAGUACAUACGGACCUGAAUGUAGCAGAUCCGUUGACUAAACCUCUCCCUAGAGCAAAACAUGAUCAACACCAGAAUUCCAUGGGUGUUCAUUCAUCACAAUGUAACUAGAUGAUUGACUCUAGUGCAAGUGGGAGACUGUUGGAAAUAUGCCCUAGAGGCAAUAAUAAAAUGAUUAUUAUAUUUCCUUGUUCAUGAUAAUUGUCUAUUAUUCAUGCUAUAAUUGUAUUAUCCGGAAAUCGUAAUACAUGUGUGAAUACAUAGACCACAACAUGUCCCUAGUGAGCCUCUAGUUGACUAGCUCGUUGAUCAAAGGAUAGUCAUGGUUUCCUGACUAUGGACAUUAGAUGUCAUUGACAACGGGAUCACAUCAUUAGGAGAAUGAUGUGAUGGACAAGACCCAAUCCUAAGCUUAGCUUAAGGAUCGUGUAGUUCGUUUGUUGUAGCUUUUCUGAAUGUCAAGUAUCAAUUCCUUAGACCAUGAGAUUGUGCAACUCCCGGAUGCCGUAGGAGUACCUUAGGUGUGCCAAACGUCACAACGUAACUGAGUGACUAUAAAGGUACAUUACAGGUAUCUCCGAAAGUGUCUGUUUGGUUGGCACGAAUCGAGACUGGGAUUUGUCACUCCGUAUGAUGGAGAGGUAUCUCUGGGCCCACUUGGUAAUGCAUCAUCAUAAUGAGCUCAAUGUGAUCAAGUGGUUGAUCGCGGGAUCAUGCAUUAUGGUACGAGUGAAGUGACUUGCCGGUAAUGAGAUUGAACAAGGUAUUGGGAUACCGACGAUCGAGUCUCGGGCAAGUAACAUACCGAUUGACAAAGGGAAUUGAAUACGGGAUUGAUUAAGUCCUCGACAUCAUGGUUCAUCCGAUGAGAUCAUCGAGGAGCAUGUGGAAGCCAACAUGGGUAUCCAGAUCCCGCUGUUGGUUAUUGACCGGAGAGGCGUCUCGGUCAUGUCUGUGUGUCUCCCGAACCCGUAGGGUCUACACACUUAAGGUUCGGUGACGCUAGGGUUGUAGAGAUAUUAGUAUGCAGUAACCCGAAAGUUGUUCGGAGUCCCGGAUGACAUCCCGGACGUCACGAGGAGUUCCGGAAUGGUCCGGAGGUAAAGAUUUAUAUAUAGGAAGUCCGGUUUCGGCCAGCGGGAAGGUUUCGGGGGUUACCGGUAUUGUACCGGGACCACCGAAAGGGUCCCGGGGGUCCACCGGAUGGGGCCACCUAUCCGGGAGGGCCCCAUGGGCUGAAGUGGAGUGGGAACCAGCCCCUGAUGGGAUGGUGCGCCCCACCCAAGGGCCCAAGGCGCCUAGGAUUGGAAACCCUAGGGGGGCGUUACCCCCCGAGGGGGCAUGCGCCCCCCUGGUUGGAAACCCUAGGGGCCGUUGCCCCCCGAGGGGGCAUGCGCCCCCCUGGUUGGAAACCCUAAGGGGGCCAUUGCCCCCAGGGGCCGCCCCCCCCCCAUUUUAGAUGGGAUCUCCAAGGGGGCAUGCGCCCCCCUAGCCCCUAUAUAUAGUGGAAGGGAGGGAGGGCAGCCGCACCUUGCUCUUAGCGCCUCCCUCUCCCUCCGUAACACCUCUCCUCCCCGCUUGUGCUUGGUGAAGCCCUGCCCGGAUCCUGCUGCAUCCACCACCACGCUGUCGUGCUGCUGGAUCUUCAUCAACCUCUCCUUCCCCCUUGGUGGAUCAAGAAGGAGGAGACGUCUUCCCAACCGUACGUGUGUUGAACGCGGAGGUGCUGUUCGUUCGGCACUUGGUCAUCGGUGAUUUGGAUCACGGCGAGUACGACUCCAUCAUCCCCGUUCACUUGAGCGCUUCCGCUCGCGAUCUACAAGGGUAUGUAGAUGCACUCCUAUUCCCCUCAUUGCUAGAAUACUCCAUAGAUUGAUCUUGGUGAUGCGUAGAAUUUUUUUAAAUUUCUGCUACAAUCCCCAACAGAUUCCCCAUCCGGCAAGGUGACGAAACAGGGUGCCGAUUGGUUUUCGGUGGCUACAGAGGCUUCUGGCGGCGGAACUCUCGAUAUAUUCUGCUCUCUGUUGUUUUUAGGGUAUAUGGACAUAUAUAGGCGAAAGAGGUUGGUCAGGGGAGCCACGAGGGGCCCACGAAGGUGGAGGCGCGCCCGGGGGGUAGGGCGCGCCUCCCUGCCUCGUGGCUUCCUCAAAGCUUCCCUAACAUCUACUCCAAGUCUCUUGGAUUGCUUCCAUUCCAAAAAUAACUCCCCUGAAGGUUUCAUUCCGUUUGGACUCAGGUUGAUAUUCCUUUUCUUCGAAACACUGAAAUAGGUAAGAAAACAGCAAUUUGGGCUGGGCCUCCGGUUAAUAGGUUAGUCCCAAAAAUAAUAUAAAAGUGUUUAGUAAAGCCCACCGUAACUUUUUGUAUCCACGAGAUCCCAUCUUGGGGCCUGUUCCGAAGCUCCGUCGGAGGGGGCAUCGGUCACGGAGGGCUUCUACAUCAACACCAUAGCCCUUCCGAUUAAGUGUGAGUAGUUUACCUCAGACCUACGGGUCCAUAGUUAUUAGCUAGAUGGCUUCUUCUCUCUUUUUGGAUCUCAAUACAAAGUUCUCCCCCUCUCUUGUGGAGAUCUAUUCGAUGUAAUCUUCUUUUGCGGUGUGUUUGUUGAGACAGAUGAAUUGUGGGUUUAUGAUCAAGUUUAUCUAUGAACAAUAUUUUAAUCUUCUCUGAAUUCUUUUAUGUAUGAUUUGUUAUCUUUGCAAGUCUCUUUGAAUUAUCAGUUUGGUUUGGCCUACUAGAUUGAUCUUUCUUGUAAUGGGAGAGGUGCUUAGCUUUGGGUCCAAUCUUGUGGUGUCCUUUCCCAGUGACAGUAGGGGCAGCAAGGCACAUAUUGUAUUGUUGCCAUCGAGGAUAACAAGAUGGGGUUUAUUUCAUAUUGCAUGAGUUUAUCCCUCUACAUCAUGUCAUCUUGCUUAAAGCGUUACUCUGUUCUCUUGAACUUAAUACUCUAGAUGCAUGUUGGAUAGCGGUCAAUGUGUGGAGUAAUAGUAGUAGAUGCAGGCAGGAGUCGGUCUACUUGUCUCGGACGUGAUGCCUAUAUACAUGAUCAUACCUAGAUAUUCUCAUAAUUAUGCUCAAUUCUGUCAAUUGCUCAACAGUAAUUUGUUUACCUGCCGUGAAUACUUAUGCUCUCGAGAGAAGCCACUAGUGAAACCUAUGGCCCCGGGUCUAUCUUUCAUCAUAUUAAUCUUCCAAUACUUAGUUAUUUUUAUUGACUUUUAUUUUACUUUGCAUCUUUAUCAUAAAAAUACCAAAAAUAGUAUCUUAUCAUAUCUAUCAGAUCUCACUCUCGUAAGUGACCGUGUAGGGAUUGACAACGCCUUAUCGCGUUCUUUGCGAGGAUUUAUUUGUUUGUGUAGGUACGAGGGACUCGUGUGUGGCCUCCUACUAGAUUGAUACCUUGGUUCUCAAAAACUGAGGGAAAUACUUACGCUACUUUGCUGCACCACCCUUUCCUCUUCAAGGGAAAACCAACGCAAGUGCUCAAGAGGUAGAAAGAAGGAUUUCUGGCGCCGUUGCCGGGGAGGUCUACGCAAAAGUCAACAUACCAAGUACCCAUCACAACCCUUAUGUCCCGCAUUACAUUAUUUGACAUUUGCCUCUCGUUUUCCUCUCCCCCGCUUCACCCUUGAUGUUUUAUUCGCCCUCUUUUUUCCGUUUGCCUCUUUUCCGCUAGCUUCUUGUUUUCUCGUGUGUUGGAUUGCUUGCUUGUCAUGAUGGCUCAAGAUAAUACCAAAUUGUGUGACUUUAUUAAUACCAACAACAAUGAUUUCCUUAGCACUCCGAUUGCUCCUCUUACCAAUACUGAAUCUUGUGAAAUUAAUGUUGCUUUGUUGAAUCUUGUCAUGAAAGAUCAAUUCGCCGGCCUUCCUAGUGAAGAUGCCGCUGCCCAUCUAAAUAGCUUCAUUUAUUUGUGUGAUAUGCAAAAGAAGAAAGAUGUGGACAAUGAUAUUGUUAAAUUGAAGCUAUUUCCUUUUUCGCUUAGAGAUCGUGCUAAAUCUUGGUUUUUGUCUUUGCCUAAAAAUAGUAUUGAUUCGUGGAAUAAGUGCAAAGAUGCUUUUAUCUCUAAGUAUUUUCCUCCCUCUAAGAUCAUCUCUCUUAGAAACGAUAUUAUGAAUUUUAAGCAACUUGAUCAUGAACAUGUUGCACAAGCUUGGGAGAGGAUGAAAUUAAUGAUACGUAAUUCCCCUACGCAUGGUUUGAAUUUGUGGAUGAUUAUACAACAUUUUUAUGCUGGAAAGAAUUUUUCUUCUAGAAAUCUUUUAGAUUCAGCCGCGGGAGGCACUUUUAUGGAAAUCACUUUAGGAUAAGCUACUAAAAUCCUAGAUAAUAUUAUGGUUAAUUAUUCUCAAUGGCACACUGAAAGAUCUACUAAUAAAAAAGUGCAUGUGAUAGAAGAAAUUAAUGUUUUGAGUGGAAAGAUGGAUGAACUUAUGAAAUUAUUUGCUAAUAAAAGGGUUUCUUCUGAUCCUAAUGAUAUGCCUUUGUCUAGUUUGAUUGAGAAUAAUAACUAAUCUAUGGAUGUGAAUUUUGUUGGUAGGAAUAAUUUUGGUAACAAUGCAUAUAGAGGAAACAUUAACCCUAGGUUGUAUCCUAGUAAUUCCUCUAAUAAUUAUGGUAAUUCCUACAACAAUUCUUAUGGAAAUUAUAAUAAGAUGCCCUCUUAUUUUGAAUCUAAUAUUAAAGAAUUUAUUACUUUGCAAAAGAAUUUCAAUGCUUUGAUUGAAGAAAAAUUGCUUAAGAUUGAUGAGUUGGCUAGGAACACUGGUAGAAUUUCUCCUGAUGUUGAUUCUUUGAAACUUAGAUAUAUUCCACCUAAGCAUAAUAUCAAUGAGUCUCUCAAAGCCAUGAGAAUUUCCAUUGAUGAGUGCAAAGAAAGAACCUCUAGGAUGCGUGCUAAGAAAGAUUGCUUUAUAAAAGCGUGUUCUUCUAGUUUCCAUGAUAAUAAAGAUGAAGAUCUAAAAGUUAUUGAUGUGUCCCCUAUUAAAUAUUUGUUUUGCAAUAUGAAUCUUGAUAAUAAUGGGACUGAAUAUGAUCCACCUUUACCUAGAUGGCGUUCCCAAAAUUCCGAGUUUUUAGAUCUUGAUGCCAAAAUUGUUAAAAGUGGGAUUGAAGAAGUCAAAACUUUAAAUAUUGAUGAACCCACUAUUUUUGAUUUCAAGGAAUUUAAUUAUGAUAAUUGCUCUUUGAUAGAUUGUAUUUCCUUGUUGCAAUCUAUGCUAAAUUCUCCUCAUGCUUAUAGUCAAAAUAAAGAUUUUACUAAACAUAUCGUUGAUGCUUUGAUGCAAUCUUAUGAAGAAAAACUUGAGUUGGAAGUUUCUAUCCCUAGAAAACAUUAUGAUGAGUGGGAUCCUACUAUUAAAAUUAAAAUUAAAGAUCAUGAAUGCUAUGCUUUGUGUGAUUUGGGUGCUAGUGUUUCCACGAUCCCAAAGACUUUGUGCGAUUUGUUAGGUUUCCGUGAUUUUGAUGAUUGCUCUUUAAACUUGCACCUUGCGGAUUCCACUAUUAAUAAACCUAUGGGAAGAAUUAAUGAUGUCCUUAUUGUUGCAAAUAGGAAUUAUGUGCCCAUAGAUUUUAUUGUUCUUGACAUAGAUUGCAAUCCUUCAUGUCCUAUUAUUCUUGGUAGACCUUUCCUUAGAACGAUUGGUGCAAUUAUUGAUAUGAAGGAGGGGAAUAUUAGAUUCCAAUUUCCGUUAAGGAAAGGCAUGGAACACUUCCCUAGAAAUAAAAUUAAAUUACCUUAUGAAUCUAUUAUGAGAGGCACUUAUGGAUUGCCUACCAAAGAUGGCAACACCUAGAUCUAUCCUUGCUUUUUAUGCCUAGCUAGGGGCGUUAAACGAUAGCGCUUGUUGGGAGGCAACCCAAUUUUAUUUUUAUUACUUGAUUUUUGCUCCAGUUUAGUAAUAAAUAAUUUAUCUAGCCUCUGUUUUGGUUUUGUUUUUGUGUUUAAUUAGUGUUUGUGCCAAGUAGAACCGUUGGGAAGACUUGGGGAAAGUCUUGUUAAUCUUGCUGUAAAAAACAGAAACUUUAGCGCUCACGUGAACUGCUGUGAUUUUUAUUUCGAAAGUGCUAUUUAGUUAAUUAUUUUUGAAGAUUAUUAAUAUAUAAAUUGCUCACGUCCAGAAAUUUAUUUUAGAAUUUUUGGGGUUCCAGAUUUUACGAUAGCUACAGAUUACUACAGACUGUUCUGUUUUUGACAGAUUCUGUUUUUCGUGUGUUGUUUACUUAUUUUGAUGAAUCUAUGGCUAGUAAAAUAGUUUAUAAACCAUGGAGAAGUUGGAAUACAGUAUGUUUAACACCAAUAUAAAUAAAUAACGAUUUCAUUACAGUACCUUGAAGUGGUGUUUUUUUUCUUUCGCUAACGGAGCUCACGAGAUUUUCUACUUUAAGUUUUGUGUUGUGAAGUUUUCAAGUUUGGGUAAAGAUUUGAUGGAUUAUGGAACAAGGAGUGGCAAGAGACUAAGCUUGGGGUUGCCCAUGGCACCCCCAAGAUAAUAUAAGGACACCUAAAAGCCAAAUCUUGGGGAUGCCUCGGAAGCCAUCCCCUCUUUCGUCUACUUCUAUCGGUAACUUUACUUGGAGCUAUAUUUUUAUUUACCACAUGAUAUGUGUUUUGCUUGGAGCGUCUUGUAUUAUUUGAGUAUUUAUUUGUUAGUUUUCCACAAUCAUCCUUGCUGCACACACCUUUUUGAGAGAGACACACAUGAUUCGGAAAUUAUUAGAAUACUCUAUGUGCUUCACUUAUAUCUUUUGAGUUAUAUAGUUUUUGCUCUAGUGCUUCACUUAUAUCUUUUAGAGCACGUCGGUGGAUUUGUUUUAUAAAAACCAUUGUUCCCUCAUGCUUCACUUAGAUUAUUUUGAGAGUCCUACAAAACAGCAUGGUAAUUUGCUUUAAUUAUUUGAGGCAUUCAAGAUUAAAUAAAUAAAAUUUUCUUAUGAGUGUACUGAAUACUAUGAGAAGUUUGAAACUUGAUAAUUGUUUUGAGAUAUGGAGAUGGUGAUAUUAGAGUCGUGCUAGUUGAGUAGUUGUGAAUUUGAGAAAUGCUUGUGUUGAAGUUUGUGAUUCCCGUAGCAUGCACGUAUGGUGAACCGUUAUGUUAAGAAGUCGGAGCAUGAUGUAUUUAUUGAUUGUCCUCCUUAUGAGUGGCGGUCGGGGACGAGCGAUGGUCUUUUCCUACCAAUCUAUCCCCCUAGGAGCAUGCGCGUAGUACUUUGCUUCGAUAAAUAAUAGCUUUUUUGCGAUAAGUAUGUGAGUUCUUUAUGACUAAUGUUGAGUCCAUGGAUUAUACGCACUCUCACCCUUCCACCAUUGCUAGCCUCUAUAAUACCGCGCACCUUUCGGCGGUAUCAUACACCCACCAUAUACCUUCCUCAAAACAGCCACCAUACCUACCUAUCAUGGCAUUUCCAUCGCCAUUCCGAGAUAUGUUGCCAUGCAACUUUCCAUUGUUCCGUUUAUCAUGACACGCUCCAUCAUUGUCAUAUUGCUUUGCAUGAUCAUGUAGUUGACAUUUUAGUUGUGGCAAAGCCACCGUUCAUAAUUCUUUCAUAUAAGUCACUCAUGCAUCAUUGCUAUCCCGGUACACCGUCGGAGGCAUUCAUAUAGAGUCAUACUUUGUUCUAGUAUCGAGAUGUAAUCAUUGAGUUGUAAAUAAAUAGAAGUGUGAUGAUCAUCAUUCAUAGAGUAUUGUUGUCAGGACCCCGACUCAAUGCCACAUCGAUCUAGCAUGUAACACCUCAUAUCACCUUGCGGCCUCAUGCACGGUAUUCCCACGGGUGUCGCCUUACCUUAGCCCGGGACCGUUUGCGCCUUUUGGCACACGUAUAUGACAGUGUCGCUAGCAUCCAUAUGAUAAGGAGCCCGGGCUGACAUGGCUAGUCGUAAACCCAAAGUGGCACAGACUUACAGGGACAGGCAUCCAUGACCCAGCAUCGAACGUGUCGGUCAUCAGCGAGUGAAUCCAGGCUGUAGCACUGGGCUAGCAGGACUCCGGUGAACCGGGCUGUAGCGGGCUAGCAGGACUCCGGUAUUCAUCACGUGACAUUUCCCCGAAGGGACAGACACAGGAUCGAAGAUGGACACAUGCCGGCCUGCCUAAGUGUUCUGGAGCAGUAGCAAGCUACCAGGGCUCAGUGGAAGCACUAGGAGACAUUUCCCGGUAAGAGAGGCUACUAAGAAUAAACAACUAGGUAGUCAGAUCCCACACAUAACAAUACACAUUACACGUACGCAUAACAUGCAAGUAUGUGCUGUACAACAUGGCAUCACAGCAUAACUCAACAAUCAUAUAGAAUAAGGCUCAGAAGAGCCAUCACGGCUUUAUUACAAACAGGGGUCACAUGACCCAACAGUCAGAGCAAUCAAGCAACAAGCGGAAGCAUUACAUGUCUGAGUACAGACAUCUACAAAUGAAAAAGGCUGAAGAGCCUGACUAUCUACACCAUCCGAUCAAGAUCGUAGCUGAGGUACUAGCUACUAGUCGAAGUCCAUGAGAACCCUAGCAAGACCGAAGUCUUCGCUGCAAGAAACAUAAAUAAAGCAACAUGAGUACAAAGGUACUCAGCAAGACUUACAUCAGAUCCUAUCAUACAUGCAUUUGUACCAAGAGGGUAAUGUGGGGUUUGGUUGCAGCAAGCCAGCUUUGACUCUGUGGCUAUCCUGUUCUACGACUACCAGAAACUCUUGAGGUGAAACAACGUAAACGAGUCCACUAAUCACCAUACAAUACCCUACUAUGGAUUCAUCCCCGUCUCCAUACGAGAAGGCCCUCCAUAGCACUCACACUUGUCUUGAGCAUUUUAGAGUAUCCACUUCAAGUUGUCUAUGUACCAUGUAAGCAUCCAAGAAGUCCAUAACUGCGGACCCGGCUAUUCGAAUAGAUCAUGUUAACCCUGCAGGGGUGUACUUCUUCACACACGCUCUCGCCACUUACCGCCAUGUACACGUCAUGUAUCUCGGCAACCUUCAAGCGGAAGCCUGGCGAGGGUGUCGGCCACGACCUGACUAACCACACAAGACUCUAGUCCAGGUUUAUCGCCUAUUCGGGUUUCAUCCGCAAGGAGAUCCGGCCGGGGUGUCGCUCACGGCCCCAAACGAUGUGUACAGGGUUCCCGAGCCCACCAUCCGGGUGCCACUCGGUACACCAGGCCACGUGUGCCUAGUCUGUCCCAAGCCCACCCUGCCGGGUGCCACUUGGUAGAAAAAAUAGCACUACCUACAAACACCAGAAACUAGUUGCGACUCCUGGACAGAGACCAAGUUGGUUAAUAAGUCGAGAGGGGUCGAGUUACCGGAACCCAAUGUGUGGUAGUAACGAGUCAUUGGACAACAUACAUAGAACUCAGUGCUUAAGGACGGUUCCAAUGAGACAACCCACCAUGUACUCCUACAUGGCCUCUCACCGCUACCUUUACCAAAUCGUGUUCACACACCUCACUCUCAGCAUCAGAACAUAUCGUGACACUCCAAUUCAUUCCCAAUGAAUCAGACCUGACACAACUCUAAGCAAUAGCAGGCAUAGCAUGGUAGGAACACAACAUGGCUCAACCAACUCCUACACAUGCUAGUGGGUUUCGACUAUUUACUGUGGCAAUGACAGGUCAUGCAGAGGAAUGGGUUCAACUACCGCAGCACAAAGUAGCANNNNNNNNNNNNNNNNNNNNNNNNNNNNNNNNNNNNNNNNNNNNNNNNNNNNNNNNNNNNNNNNNNNNNNNNNNNNNNNNNNNNNNNNNNNNNNNNNNNNNNNNNNNNNNNNNNNNNNNNNNNNNNNNNNNNNNNNNNNNNNNNNNNNNNNNNNNNNNNNNNNNNNNNNNNNNNNNNNNNNNNNNNNNNNNNNNNNNNNNNNNNNNNNNNNNNNNNNNNNNNNNNNNNNNNNNNNNNNNNNNNNNNNNNNNNNNNNNNNNNNNNNNNNNNNNNNNNNNNNNNNNNNNNNNNNNNNNNNNNNNNNNNNNNNNNNNNNNNNNNNNNNNNNNNNNNNNNNNNNNNNNNNNNNNNNNNNNNNNNNNNNNNNNNNNNNNNNNNNNNNNNNNNNNNNNNNNNNNNNNNNNNNNNNNNNNNNNNNNNNNNNNUUGUCCUAAUGCAAUAACUGAGAGCAGGAGCGAGAGAGUAGGGUUUUAUCGAAAUGAACAAGGGGGUUUGCUUGCCUGGUAAAUCAACAAGGGAGGCACUGCUUCACAGACAGGUACUCUGGAACGUCUCCGGAGCAGGACCUAUCGAGAAGGAACGGUGCCGGCAAUCAAAACACAAUCAUAUGCAACAAUAUGAUGCAUGAGCAUGGCAUGUAGAUGUGAUGCUGUUUGAGCUAAUGUAACUAGUAAACAUUUGGUUUGAAGUCCAUUUGAACCAAAGGUUCAAAUGCAUUUCUAAAUUAGGUCUCUUAUAUAUGCCAUAAUGUGUUUUCCCAUAUUCAGCAUGUAUAAGUUGGUUUUUCAUGCAUGAAACUAGUACAGAUGGAAAGAUUGCAUUUUUCUGAUAAUUUUUCAUAUAUAAAUUAUUUUAAUCUGAGCUACGGUUGAAUUGUUAUGAAUUUUUGAAGUUUAAAACAAUUUCUGGAAUUUCCUGAUUUAAAUUAAAUCCAGAAAUUAUAUAUUGCGCCAGCAUGACGUCAGCACGACGUCAGCGGUCAACUGCGGCUGGCUGGGGUCAAACCUGACGUGUGGGACCCACACGUCAGUGACAGGGGGGUUAAACAGGGUUAGUUUAAUCCUAAUUAAAAAGAUUAGUGGCGCUGGGGCCCACUGUCAGUGUCACAGUUAAUUAACAGAGAUAAUUAGUUGCUAAACUAAUCCUAAACUAAAAAUUAGUAGGGCCGGGCCCACAUGUCAUUGACUCUGGGUAGUCAAACCCCAGGUCAACUGGGGGGUUAGCGCGGGUUGACCGGUCAAUCCCGCCGGCGUUUUGCCGCCGGCGAGGCCGAGCGCGGCGGAGGGGCUCGGGAACGUCGCUCCGGCGACCAUUCGGGCGGCGGAGACCACGAGAGCGAAGCCCGUGCUCACGCGCAUCCAGUGGAACACGCGGGAGGCUGCGGGGGCGGCGGAGCUCGCCGGAGCAAAGCUCAGGGCGGCGGCCGGAGUUCGGCCUCAAGCAGGAGCACAGCUACGGCGCACGGGGAGGAAGAAGAGAAGGGGGAACAGGCGCAGAAGCGCACGGCAGAGGCGACGGGAUGGUCAACAGGCUCGGGGACGAGUCGGAGACGACGGACGGGCGCCGACGAUCUCGGGCGGCCGACGACGAAGAUGACGGCGAUGGCGGCUCCUCGGGGCACUCCGGCUUGCGUGGCUCGGCGAGGAGGUAGCUGGCGACGAGGCGGAGCUCCUGGGCACGACGGGGAGGCGAGGGGGAGGCGGUGGCUAUGGCCACGGCGUGCGGCGGCGACGGCAGCGCUUCGGGCGCGGGGAGAGGGAGAGAUGUAGGGGAGGGAGAGGAACGAGAGAGCGAGGGAGAGAUCCGGGGCAGUGCUGGGCGCUUCUGGCGAGGCCAGGGCGUCGAGGGGGAGGGCACGCAGGCAGCUGCCGUGGCGCGCAUGCGCGCGGUGUGCGGCGACCACGCGCCCUGUCCCUCUGGCGCGAGGAGGGGGACGACUGGCGUCGGCCAGUCAGCUGGGCCGAGCUACUGGGCCGAUCGGGUAAGUGGCCCAGGUAAGUCUCUCUCCCCUUUUCUGUUUUCUUUUCUAAUUUUCUGACAUUUGUUUGGUUUAAUAAAAAUACUAAACCAUUUUAUUUUAUUAUGCCAAUUUUUGUAGGGGCUAAUGGUAUUAUUCCAGAGCUGCUCAACAAAUGGCACAAUUUUGGACAUAUAAAAUAUAUAUAACAUUUAUAUAUCCAAGCAAAUAAUUAUUGUAUUAAUUCCAAAUGUCCAAAAUAAAAUACUUAUGAGGUCCUGAAAAUAUUGGUUUGAUUUUUUUUUAUCUCUGUCCAAUAUUGUCAGAGGGCAACAUGAGCAUUUUCUUGGACCCUUUUGGAGAAAUUUUUAUUUGGGUCAUUUCCAAAGAUGAUUCUGAGGGUUCCACCAAUCCUCAUUUCAAAUUUAAAUGAAAUUUAAAUAUGAUGCACAAAUGACUAGCUAGUCUAGGUCAUACCAGACUAGGGAUGUGACAACUCGCCCCCACUUGAAAAAAUCUCGUCCCGAGAUUCAGGGGUCGACGGAAAGAAAGCGGGGAACUCCAGUCGAAGAUGAUCUUCUCGCUCCCAAGUAGCUUCUCUCUCGGAAUGAUGAGACCACUGAACUUUGAGAAACUUGAUGUUCUGACGUCGGGUAACACGCUCCGCUUGAUCAAGAAUGCGAACCGGGUACUCUCGGUAUGUGAGGUUAUCUUGGAGAUCAAGCGUUUCGUGGUCCACUCCGCGGAUAGGAUCCGAGAAGCAACGCCUGAGUUGAGAGACGUGGAAGACAUCAUGAACUCGAGAAAGAUGUGGGGGUAGUUCCAAUUGGUAGGCAACCUCUCCUCGUUUAGCGAGAAUGCGAAAAGGACCAAUGUAACGAGGAGCCAACUUGCCCUUGAUACCGAAACGAUGGGUACCCUUCAAAGGAGUAACCCGGAGGUAAGCCCUUUCGCCAACUUCAUAAGUCAUAUCCUUAUGAUGACGAUCAUACUGACUCUUUUGACGAGACUGGGCUGUUUUCAAAUUCUCACGAAUGAUGCGAACUUGCUCUUCUGCCUCCUGGAUCAUGUCCGGUCCAAAGAAUUGUCUUUCACCGGUUUCUGACCAGUUCAAAGGUGUUCGACAUCUUCGUCCAUAGAGAACCUCAAAAGGAGCUUUCUUGAGGCUGGAUUGGUAGCUAUUGUUAUAAGCAAACUCGGCGAAAGGAAGACAUUUCUCCCAAUCCAUACCGAAUGAGAUAACGCAAGCUCUGAGCAUGUCUUUGAGAAUUUGAUUGACCCGUUCCACCUGACCACUCGACUGAGGGUGGAAAGCGGUACUGAAGGAAAGAUGGGUUCCCAUGGCAGUUUGGAAACUCUCCCAGAAAUGAGAAGUGAAAAGGCUGCCACGGUCUGAAUUGAUCUCUAGUGGAACACCAUGCAGUGACACUAUUCGAGAAAUAUAUAAGUCAGCAAGCUGACUAGCAGUGAUACUCUCUCGAACAGGAAGGAAGUGAGCCACUUUGGAAAGACGAUCAACGACUACGAAGAUAGCGUUAUUCCCUCUCUUGGUCCUGGGAAAGCCGGUGAUGAAGUCCAUACCAACUUUAUCCCAUUUCCAUUCAGGAAUAGCUAAAGGCUGAAGGGUGCCAGCAGGUCUUUGAUGCUCUGCCUUAACGCGACGACAAACGUCACAGUUAGCAAUAAACUGAGCGAUUUCUCUCUUCAUCCUAGUCCACCAGAACCUCUGGCGUAGGUCCUGAUACAUCUUAGUGCUACCAGGAUGAAUCAUGAGAGGAGAUUCAUGCGCUUCCUUAAGAAUCAACUGCCGAAGAUGUUGCUUCUUGGGAACCACCAAGCGAUUCUCAAAGAAAACAACACCACGAUCAUCCAUAGAGAAACAUCCACCAAGUCCCUUCUUAAUGUUUCUCUUGAUCCGGGUAAUCCCCGUAUCAUGUUUCUGGGCUUCUAUGAUAAGGUCCACAAGGGUAGGUUUCGCCACCAAGGUAGAAAGAAAACCGCGAGGAGCUAUGUGAAGAUUAAGCUUACAGAAUUCCUCAUGGAGAAGUGGUUGGCCUUGCUGCAACAUGAGAUUGUUACAAUAGGAUUUACGACUUAGAGCAUCAGCCAUGACAUUGGCUUUGCCUGGGGUGUAGGUAAUCCCCAGAUCAUAAUCUGUGAUCAACUCCAACCAACGUCUUUGCCUAAGGUUCAGAUCCGGUUGGGUGAAGAUAUACUUGAGACUCUGGUGAUCGGUGUAGAUCUCGCAACGUUUACCAAGGAGAUAAUGUCGCCAGGUCUUGAGUGCAUAGACUACGGCUGCAAGCUCUAGAUCAUGUGUAGGAUAAUUCUCCUCAUGUGGAUGCAACUGUCGAGAUGCAUAGGCAAUCACAUGACGAUCCUGCAUAAGAAUGCAACCUAGUCCCUGUCGUGAGGCGUCGCAGUAGAUAAUAAAGUCUUUAGUGAAAUCCGGUGGCACAAGUAUGGGAGCAGAAGUCAGGCGUCUUUUCAGCUCCUGAAAACUGUACUCACACUGUGGGGACCACUCGAACUUUUUAUCUUUCUUGAGAAGUUCCGUGAGGGGUUUGGCUACUUUGGAGAAGUUUUCAACAAAGCGGCGACAAUAGCUGGCUAGGCCAAGGAAACUCCUAACUUGUUUGACUGUUUCAGGUGGAGUCCAAUCGAGAACGGCUUGAACUCUCUCGGGAUUGACAGCAAUGCCCUUACCAGAGAUUACGUGACCUAAGUAGGUCACUUCUGACAACCAAAAUUCACACUUGGAGAACUUGGCAUAAAGGCGGUGCUCUCUGAGUUUUUCUAAAACAAGUCUAAGAUGUUCGGCAUGCUCUUCCUCGUUCUUCGAGUAAAUAAGAAUAUCAUCGAGGUAAACCACGACGAACUUAUCUAAGUACUCCAUGAAGAUCGAGUUCAUCAAGCGGGAGAAUGUGGCUGGGGCGUUGGUUAGGCCGAAGGACAUGACAGUGUACUCGUACUGGCCAUAACGAGUGACAAAAGCUGUCUUGGGAAUGUCCCCGUUUCUGAUUUUGAUUUGGUGGUAUCCUAACCUUAAAUCCAUCUUGGAGAAGACUGAGGAUCCAGCGAGCUGAUCAUACAGGUCGUUGAUCCUGGAAAGCGGAUACUUGUUCUUUAUCGUGACCAAAUUAACGGGACGAUAAUCUACAACCAUCCGGUCCGUACCGUCUUUCUUCUUGACAAAGAGGACGGGGCAAGCACAAGGAGAAGAACUAGGACGGAUGAAACCCUUUUGCAAGGAAUCAUCGAGUUGUUUCUUAAGCUCGGCUAGUUCUAAGGGUGCCAUCUUGUAAGGUCUCCGGGAGAUUGGAGCUGUUCCUGGGAUAAGAUCUAUGACAAACUCUACAUCUCUGUCAGGUGGAACACCUGGCAGUUCCUCUGGAAAGACAUCCGGAAAGUCGCGGACUACCGGGAUAAGGUCUGGAAGAGGGCUGGCAUUAAGAGAAUAGAGCUGACGCUUUGCAACUCUAGUGGAGACGGUGACUAUCUUGCCAGAUGGGUGUGUAAGCUGAACAGAUCUUGUGUAGCAAUCAAUCUGGGCAUGAUGAGCUGUCAUCCAGUCCAUACCCAAGAUGAUGUUAAUAUCUGAGGACUUGAGGGCUACAAGUGAUGCAAGGAAUACAAGUCUGUCAACAAGGAUUUCAUUACCAUGGCUGAUUCUGGUGGUCUGCCAUCUAGACCCUGGGGUUUGGAUUUCAAGUGGAGUUGGCAUAACACAAAAUGACAUGUCGUGCAAACGAGCAUAGCCUUCAGAAAUGAAGGAGUGAGAUGCUCCAGUAUCGAAUAGAACUGAUGCUGGGUGACAAUUGACAAGGAGGGUACCAAGAACAACAUCCGGAUCAUCAUGAGCGUCUUUAGUUGAGACGUGAUGCACACGUCCACGUUCAGUGGGGGCUGACUUGACACUGAUCAUCUUGCGUGAUGGCUUAAUACAGCCAACAGUCUUCUCGGGCUGGGGUGGAGCAUAACUAGUCUGAGAGCAAUCACGUGCAUAGUGUCCUGGCUUUCCGCAUGUGAAGCAAGUCCCUGAGGAUGGACGUGGACCCGCACUGACAAGCGGUCUACCAGUAGGCCUGGGUGGAACAUACGACUGAGCUGGGGAAGGCACCACAUAGGAUGGCCUCGGUGCAUAUCCGGAAGGAAGAGCGGAGUUUGAAACCCAAAUCCGGCGCUUCUGAGAACUAGAGCCAGAGGAAGAUCCCAAAUCACGGGUGUGCUUACGAGACUCCUCGUAAGUGAGCUGAGCUGUCUCUGCAUUAAUGGCUUUGUUCACAAGAGCUUGGAAUGUAUCACAAUGAUGCAGGUGGAGAUCACGACGCAACUUGGGGUUGAGACCCUUUCGGAACCUAGCCUGCUUCUUGGCGUCCGUGGACACUUCUUCUGUGGCAUAGCGAGCAAGGUUCUCAAACUCUCGGCUGUAAGCAUCAACAGCCAUCUUAUUCUGGGUGAGACUACAGAACUCUUCUCUCUUGCGAUCAAGGAGGGCCUCAGGAAUGUGAUGCUCGCGAAAAGCCUCAGUGAAAUCUCUCCAGGUAGGAAUCUGGCCAGCUGGAAGCAUAGUCUCAUAGUUCUGCCACCAAAGACUAGCAGGACCUUCCAGGUGGUAUGUGGCAUAGGUGACCUUGUCAUCUUUAGCUACGCUCGCGGAACGCAGCUUAUGAGUGAUGCUACGGAGCCAGUCAUCUGCAUCGAGUGGCUCGAUGGAAUGAUGAAAAGUAGGUGGGUGCAAGCGAAUGAAAUCAUGAAUGGUAGCAGACCCUUUGAACCGAUGUGCGGUGUUCUCCUCGAUACGUGCCAACAAACGGUUAGACUCACGCUUGUUCCUCUCCAUCUUUAGCAUGAACUCUGUCAAUGAAGGCGGGUCGGGAGGAUCCUCAUCCCUACCAUCGCCGUGGUUCUGGCUACGAACAACAGAACUUGAUGACAUCCUGGUGAAACGAAACCAGCGACGGAAUCAGCAUCAACUAUGGACUGUAGAAUGUAGGACAAGGGAUUAGUAUCACUCGAACUCCUAGGGAAAUUCCGGCAGCAUAACGGUAGUAAAAUGCUCAGAAUGAGACAUCCUACUAAAAAUGGGGUGGUAACAUACUCAUCAGCAUUACUCAAGGUUCUGAGAUCAUACUAAACAGACUACACCGGAAAUACUCAAAACUGGGGUAUGACUCUGAUCAACCAGUCCUAUGGAACUACGGAGUAGUAACACGUGAUCCUGAUAGACGGAAGAGAAGCCUAGUUCCUUAACCCCGUAGGAAAGAUAGGACGACUCAGAUCAGAAGGCCAUGAGGUAAAGGACUAAAAGAGCCUUACGUUCCAUCCCACAAUCAAUUCCCUUACAUAACUAAAGAAUUUCUAGACUCAACUUCGACCAGUAUGGCUUGGUAAACCUACAGGCAGUCAGGCUCUGAUACCAACGCUGUCAGGACCCCGACUCAAUGCCACAUCGAUCUAGCAUGUAACACCUCAUAUCACCUUGCGGCCUCACGCACGGUAUUCCCACGGGUGUCGCCUUACCUUAGCCUGGGACCGUUUGCGCCUUUUGGCACACGUAUAUGACAGUGUCGCUAGCAUCCAUAUGAUAAGGAGCCCGGACUGACAUGGCUAGUCGUAAACCCAAAGUGGCACAGACUUACAGGGACAGGCAUCCAUGACCCAGCAUCGAACGUGUCGGUCAUCAGCGAGUGAAUCCAGGCUGUAGCACUGGGCUAGCAGGACUCCGGUGAACCGGGCUGUAGCGGGCUAGCAGGACUCCGGUAUUCAUCGCGUGACAUUUCCCCGAAGGGACAGACACAGGAUCGAAGAAGGACACAUGCCGGCCUGCCUAAGUGUUCCGGAGCAGUAGCAAGCUACCAGGGCUCAGUGGAAGCACUAGGAGACAUUUCCCGGUAAGAGAGGCUACUAAGAAUAAACAACUAGGUAGUCAGAUCCCACACAUAACAAUACACAUUACACGUACGCAUAACAUGCAAGUAUGUGCUGUACAACAUGGCAUCACAGCAUAACUCAACAAUCAUAUAGAAUAAGGCUCAGAAGAGCCAUCACAGCUUUAUUACAACAGGGGUCACAUGACCCAACAGUCAGAGCAAUCAAGCAACAAGCGGAAGCAUUACAUGUCUGAGUACAGACAUCUACAAAUGAAAAAGGCUGAAGAGCCUGACUAUCUACACCAUCCGAUCAAGAUCGUAGCUGAGGUACUAGCUACUAGUCGAAGUCCAUGAGAACCCUAGCAAGACCGAAGUCUUCGCUGCAAGAAACAUAAAUAAAGCAACAUGAGUACAAAGGUACUCAGCAAGACUUACAUUAGAUCCUAUCAUACAUGCAUUUGUACCAAGAGGGUAAUGUGGGGUUUGGUUGCAGCAAGCCAGCUUUGACUCUGUGGCUAUCCUGUUCUACGACUACCAGAAACUCUUGAGGUGAAACAACGUACACGAGUCCACUAAUCACCAUACAAUACCCUACUAUGGAUUCAUCCCCGUCUCCCUACGAGAAGGCCCUCCAUAGCACUCACACUUGUCUUGAGCAUUUUAGAGUAUCCACUUCAAGUUGUCUAUGUACCAUGUAAGCAUCCAAGAAGUCCAUAACCGCGGACCCGGCUAUUCGAAUAGAUCAUGUUAACCCUGCAGGGGUGUACUUCUUCACACAUGCUCUCGCCACUUACCGCCAUGUACACGUCAUGUAUCUCGGCAACCUUCAAGCGGAAGCCUGGCGAGGGUGUCGGCCACGACCUGACUAACCACACAAGACUCUAGUCCAGGUUUAUUGCCUAUUCGGGUUUCAUCCGCAAGGAGAUCCGGCCGGGGUGUCGCUCACGGCCCCAAACGAUGUGUACAGGGUUCCCGAGCCCACCAUCCGGGUGCCACUCGGUACACCAGGCCACGUGUGCCUAGUCUGUCCCAAGCCCACCCUGCCGGGUGCCACUUGGUAGAAAAAAUAGCACUACCUACAAACACCAGAAACUAGUUGCGACUCCUGGACAGAGACCAAGUUGGUUAAUAAGUCGAGAGGGGUCGAGUUACCGGAACCCAAUGUGUGGUAGUAACGAGUCAUUGGACAACAUACAUAGAACUCAGUGCUUAAGGACGGUUCCAAUGAGACAACCCACCAUGUACUCCUACAUGGCCUCUCACCGCUACCUUUACCAAAUCGUGUUCACACACCUCACUCUCAGCAUUAGAACAUAUCGUGACACUCCAAUUCAUUCCCAAUGAAUCAGACCUGACACAACUCUGAGCAAUAGCAGGCAUAGCAUGGUAGGAACACAACAUGGCUCAACCAACUCCUACACAUGCUAGUGGGUUUCGACUAUUUACUGUGGCAAUGACAGGUCAUGCAGAGGAAUGGGUUCAACUACCGCAGCACAAAGUAGCAUAUGAAUCGUUGUUGUCCUAAUGCAAUAACUGAGAGCAGGAGCGAGAGAGUAGGGUUUUAUCGAAAUGAACAAGGGGGUUUGCUUGCCUGGUAAAUCAACAAGGGAGGCACUGCUUCACAGACAGGUACUCUGGAACGUCUCCGGAGCAGGACCUAUCGAGAAGGAACGGUGCCGGCAAUCAAAACACAAUCAUAUGCAACAAUAUGAUGCAUGAGCAUGGCAUGUAGAUGUGAUGCUGUUUGAGCUAAUGUAACUAGUAAACAUUUGGUUUGAAGUCCAUUUGAACCAAAGGUUCAAAUGCAUUUCUAAAUUAGGUCUCUUAUAUAUGCCAUAAUGUGUUUUCCCAUAUUCAGCAUGUAUAAGUUGGUUUUUCAUGCAUGAAACUAGUACAGAUGGAAAGAUUGCAUUUUUCUGAUAAUUUUUCAUAUAUAAAUUAUUUUAAUCUGAGCUACGGUUGAAUUGUUAUGAAUUUUUGAAGUUUAAAACAAUUUCUGGAAUUUCCUGAUUUAAAUUAAAUCCAGAAAUUAUAUAUUGCGCCAGCAUGACGUCAGCACGACGUCAGCGGUCAACUGCGGCUGGCUGGGGUCAAACCUAACGUGUGGGACCCACACGUCAGUGACAGGGGGGUUAAACAGGGUUAGUUUAAUCCUAAUUAAAAAGAUUAGUGGCGCUGGGGCCCACUGUCAGUGUCACAGUUAAUUAACAGAGAUAAUUAGUUGCUAAACUAAUCCUAAACUAAAAAUUAGUAGGGCCGGGCCCACAUGUCAUUGACUCUGGGUAGUCAAACCCCAGGUCAACUGGGGGGUUAGCGCGGGUUGACCGGUCAAUCCCGCCGGCGUUUUGCCGCCGGCGAGGCCGAGCGCGGCGGAGGGGCUCGGGAACGUCGCUCCGGCGACCAUUCGGGCGGCGGAGACCACGAGAGCGAAGCCCGUGCUCACGCGCAUCCAGUGGAACACGCGGGAGGCUGCGGGGGCGGCGGAGCUCGCCGGAGCAAAGCUCAGGGCGGCGGCCGGAGUUCGGCCUCAAGCGGGAGCACAGCUACGGCGCACGGGGAGGAAGAAGAGAAGGGGGAACAGGCGCAAAAGCGCACGGCGGAGGCGACGGGAUGGUCAACAGGCUCGGGGAUGAGUCGGAGACGACGGACGGGCGCCGACGAUCUCGGGCGGCCGACGACGAAGAUGACGGCGAUGGCGGCUCCUCGGGGCACUCCGGCUUGCGUGGCUCGGCGAGGAGGUAGCUGGCGACGAGGCGGAGCUCCUGGGCACGACGGGGAGGCGAGGGGGAGGCGGUGGCUAUGGCCACGGCGUGCGGCGGCGACGGCAGCGCUUCGGGCACGGGGAGAGGAAGAGAUGCAGGGGAGGGAGAGGAACGAGAGAGCGAGGGAGAGAUCCGGGGCAGUGCUGGGCGCUUCUGGCGAGGCCAGGGCGUCGAGGGGGAGGGCACGCAGGCAGCUGCCGUGGCGCGCAUGCGCGCGGUGUGCGGCGACCACGCGCCCUGUCCCUCUGGCGCGAGGAGGGGGACGACUGGCGUCGGCCAGUCAGCUGGGCCGAGCUACUGGGCCGAUCGGGUAAGUGGCCCAGGUAAGUCUCUCUCCCCUUUUCUGUUUUCUUUUCUAAUUUUCUGACAUUUGUUUGGUUUAAUAAAAAUACUAAACCAUUUUAUUUUAUUAUGCCAAUUUUUGUAGGGGCUAAUGGUUUUAUUCCAGAGCUGCUCAACAAAUGGCACAAUUUUGGACAUAUAAAAUAUAUAUAACAUUUAUAUAUCCAAGCAAAUAAUUAUUGUAUUAAUUCCAAAUGUCCAAAAUAAAAUACUUAUGAGGUCCUGAAAAUAUUGGUUUGAUUUUUUUUUAUCUCUGUCCAAUAUUGUCAGAGGGCAACAUGAGCAUUUUCUUGGACCCUUUUGGAGAAAUUUUUAUUUGGGUCAUUUCCAAAGAUGAUUCUGAGGGUUCCACCAAUCCUCAUUUCAAAUUUAAAUGAAAUUUAAAUAUGAUGCACAAAUGACUAGCUAGUCUAGGUCAUACCAGACUAGGGAUGUGACAAUUGUCCCAAAUAAAAAAAGGCCAAAGAAAAAAGAGAAAAAAAGAAGGCCCAAAAAAUAUAAAAAUAAAAAGGGGCAAUACUACUAUCCUUUUUUCCACACUUGUGCUUCAAAGUAGCACCAUGACCUUCAUAAUAGAGAGUCUCCUAUGUUAUCACUUUCAUAUACUAGUGGGAAUUUUUCAUUAUAGAACUUGGCUUGUAUAUUCCAACAAUGGGAUUCCUCAAAAUGCCCUAGGUCUUCGUGAGCAAGCAAGUUGGAUGCACACCCACUUAGUUUCUUUUUGUUGAGCUUUCAUAUAUUUAUAGCUCUAGUGCAUCCGUUGCGUGGCAAUCCCUACUCACUCACAUUGAUAUCUAUUGAUGGGCAUCUCCAUAGCCCAUUGAUACGCCUAGUUGAUGUGAGACUAUCUUCUCCCUUUUUGUCUUCUCCACAACCACCAUUCUAUUCCACCUAUAGUGCUAUGUCCAUGGCUCACGCUCAUAUAUUGCGUGAAGAUUGAAAAAAAUUUAGAACACCAAAAGUAUGAAACAAUUGCUUGGCUUGUCAUUGGGGUUGUUCGUGAUUUAAAUAUUUUGUGUGGUGAAGAUAGAGCAUAGCCAGACUAUAUGAUUUUGUAGGGAUAACUUUCUUUGGCCAUGUUAUUUUGAGAAGACAUGAUUGCUUUAUUAGUAUGCUUGAAGUAUUAUUAUUUUUAUGUCAAUAUUAAACUUUUGUCUUGAAUCUUUCGGAUCUGAACAUUCAUGCCACAAUAAAUAAAACUACAUUGAGAAUUAUGCUAGGUAGCAUUCCACAUCAAAAAUUUAGUUUUUAUCAUUUACCUACUCGAGGACGAGCAGGAAUUAAGCUUGGGGAUGCUUGAUAUGUCUCCAACGUAUCUAUAAUUUUUUAUUGUUCCAUGCUAUAUUAUAUUUUGUUUUGGACAUUAUUGGGCUUUAUUAUACACUUUUAUAUUAUUUUUGGGACUAACCUAUUAACCGGAGGCCCAGCCCAGAAUUGCUAUUUUUUUGCCUAUUUUAGGGUUUUGCAGAAAAAGAAUAUCAAACGGAAUGGAACCCUCGGGAACGUGAUUUUCGGAACGAACAUGAUCCAGAGGACUUGGACCCUAUGUCAAGACAUCAACGAGGAGGCCGCGAGGUAGGGGGCGCCCUCCACCCUCGUGGGCCCCCUGUUGCUCCACCGACGUACUCCUUCCUCCUAUAUACUAGUAGAAUGCCCAUGCAUUGCCAUGGGCAUUUUACAAAUCUUUCUGGUUCAUCAUGAUCAUGUUCUACGGGAAAAAAACUCCAAGGUUUAUGGAUAUAUGAUACUCCUCCUUGCAAUUAAUAUCACUAAAUUUCUCGAUCCACCAAACUGUGGGUAAGUACAAAAUUAAAUGAAUCUGAGUUGAGUGCAAUAAGGAUCGAUCAAAUGAAUGAACAAACGAAUCGCGCACAUGUCGUUCAUCAGUUCUUCUCCGCCAGAAAAUGGAACCCAAUACGUUGUUCCUGCAAUAUUUCAUUGGUCCUCGGAACCCAUCAGCCUCCUCGCUAGCGCUAAGGAACCCUGUUUGGCCAUCACUUCCGCCGGCGGCUUCAACAUCACCACUUACAUGUCUCCGCCAGCUCUACCACGAUGCCAUGUCCAUCAUGUUUCACUUUAUCAUACACUCACGUAACAUAAGUACUAUUGUUCAAGCAUGCAUACCAGUCGUUAGAUCGAGUACAUCCAAACAGUCCACCAUGUUUCACUUUAUCAUACAUUACCCACGUAACAUAAGUACUAUUGUUCAAACAUGCAUACCAGUCAUUAGAUCGAGUACAUCCAUACAAUUGCGAUCCACCACUUUUCACAAUCCCCUCCCUCUGCGAGAUGUCUCCCACACUAUGUCAAAGACACUCCCCUCAUGCACGCGUCCAAUGUAGGUUGUUUCCCCUCAGAGGCCUCCUUCACCGGCAAUAGAUCUCGCUGCAAGUCGCACCUUGCCAUGACCAAACUCCAAUAAGAAAUUAUCGAAUAGUCCUUACAUCAUAUAGAACUAAAAUCCUAAUGACUAUAAAUUACCUAAGUUUUAGAAUGUCUUGUUUAAGAGACUCAUUAUUUUUUGUUUUGAUUGGAAUUCCUUUCCUUUAUGAGAUACCAUUCUGAACUUAACUAACUAUUUUCAUUAUAUAUACAAACACAUGCAGACAUGCUACACCUCGUUUACUAUGCUAGACGUGCAUAUAGUAUGCUAAAUAUUUCGUUUCUAGUAUUUUCUUAUUUAUUUUGUAAAACUAUUUGCAGCACCAUUAGAACACAACCACUACUAGGAAAAGGCCUACUAGUGGCGCACCUGUUUUUGCUACUAAUGGCGCACUACAGGUGCGCCACUAGUACCAUGACAUUGGUAUUUUUUACUAAUGGCACACCACAGGUGCGCCAUUAGUAUCUGGUAUACUAAUGGCGCACCACGCAGUGCGCCAUUAGUAUAGCCCACGGUGCGCUAUUAGUAUGCCUCCCGGGGGGGCAUAUUUACCCAUGUGCUUUGGCAUACUAAUGGCGCACUGGUGGAUGAUGCGCCAUUAGUGUGCUCUGGCUUACUAAUGGCGCACUAUGUGGUGGUGCGCCACUAGUAUGAAUAUUAGGCAUUAUUUUUUUUUCUUUUCUGAUAUUUUCACAGGUUACAAAAUAUAUUAUUGGACAGAAUUUAGACAACACCACACAGCAACAGCAGAUUCAUCGAAUACAAUAGAAGAUUAGUCUCCGAAUACAAUUCAUCAUAUUAGUCUCCGAAUUCAAAAGACCGAACAAAGAUAGAACAUUACAAGUCUCGAUACCGCGAGUAGCGAGUUUGUUGGAAGUAAUACUAAUCCUAACAAUUCCUACUAAUCAUCAUCAUACAACUUCUACUCGUUAUUAAUAACAAGUCAUACGAUCAUCAUCUUGAUAGUCAUCGAACCAAUCCUACUUAAUUGUUCUUAGCACAUGAUCAUCAGUAUUAGGCAGGACCUAAAUACCCUAUUUAAGGUAAAAUAGCAUAAAACGAUAUAGACCCUGACUCUCCAUUAUGGAGAAUGGAGAUCAUCCUGUCUCCAAUUCUUGCGCUUCGCUUCCUUUUGCUUCCAAGAACCUCCUUACGACUGUCCAUACAUUUUUUCCAUCCUUUGAUUUUCAUGUCUCCACUUCUUUUAGAAAUCUCGUAUGGACAGUUGAGAUUCGUAGGAUGACCUGGCUGUAUGUUCAAAACAUUAAGACUACCUUUCUGAUACAUCAAAUGAGGCACACAAUUCUAUGGGAUUAUCUGUUGAAAAACAUAGUAAUAACUUCAUAGUUAGCAAUGAUGUACUAGUUUUAGAAGUAUGCAAAAGAUGCACGGAUGUCGUAAUAGUAAAAAAUCUUAUCAGGGUAUCUCCAUGGUAGUUACCGUAGUUGAACACAUGCACUAGUGGCACAUAUUGACCAUAAUAUUGAGGAGUUUGAUUGUAGAUAUUGUAAUUCUCAAUGUCAGUACAAAAUCCAACCAGAUGAUUUUUCUCCUUGUAAGUUGUUAAUUCGGAGCCAUCGGUGUAGUGGGUUUUGUCUACCAUCUCCCGCACAUUCUUUGAACAAUAAAAAUAAGCUGUCAACUAUUUUGAAAUAAACAAUAUAAAUUAGCUAAUAACUAUGUUUGAGAAACUCACAUAGCGGUAGAAUUGGAGGUGUAUCAACAAGGACCCAAAUGUCCAUAUUGUCUUGCUCGAUUUUAGGAUCACCAAGAUCCAUGGUGACAAGCAUACCCUCAUCAAAACCAUACAUCUUGCAAAAUGCUUCCCAAUUUUUGCAACCAAAAUGGGUUACGCUCCCAGAAUUAUACAGAUUUACUUCAAAAUCCACAUCGUGAUGAGUCCUUAGGUGAAUUUUCUUUGUUUCAGAAAUUUCAUGGUCUUCAAAAUCCAUCCUCUCCAAGACAUAGCGUCUUGCAUGGCAUGGGAUAAGCUAUACUCGAAUUGUAAAAGAUGAAAAUUACACGUUGAAAUAGUUGAAGUCAUGCUUAAUUAUGAAAAUAACACUUGUCAUCGUUGCGUACCGUUUCAACUUCGAAGGUCUCCUCGAGCUUAAUGCUGAAGCGCCGAUCAUCGUCCAGGUGAGGCAUGUCGCACAGACCUCGAUCGUCGUGGCACCAGCCGCACUCCCCCAGGAGACUUUCGUCGUCCUAUGACGACAUAUCCUACGUUCAUAAUUCAAAACUACAUAGGAUGAGUGGUUCCUCUUCUAGAUUAGGGUUUAUCGAUGACGAUCAACUGACAUUAGUAAUAACUAUGAGUUGAUAUCACACUUCUAUAUGUAUAACACAAGAGGCAGUUGAUCCUACUUAAUUAAGUACUAAGAUACCCCGGCCCAUGCAUUUGUCGCAAGUACCCCAUAUGUCCUAUUUUUAGCAAAGUCAUGCUAAAAUUCACGAAAAAUUUUAGCAUGACCUUUGUUGAAAAUAGGACAUAUGGAGUACCCGAAUUUGCCGGAAUGAAAGUUAAUCGACAUUCCGGCAAACUCAAGGGCCUCUCGGGGUACCUGCAAAAUCAUCAUGACACGAUGGUCGAAGACAAAACCCAGCAAACUCCUUCCCUUCACUCGGGGUACAGCAAUAUAUCUUCUAGCCAUGAAAAAUAAUACCAACUAGGAUCGGUAUGACCUUCGUUUUUCAUUUUCUGUAUGAUCAAUUAAAUCUUCUGCAAGCUUAUAUUAAAAGGUUCAGCAACUUGAAACGUAACUCUUGCUUGGUGUUCCAAAUCAUUUCAUUUAUAUUUUAAAUAACAGUAGGAAUUAUUUCAUAAUAGAAUUUACCCCAAAAACAAAUUCCUUUAAUGCCAUUUUCAAACUCUGAGUUGCCUCUGUUACACCAAAACUAACUCAAAUAAUUUUUAUAAAACUGCCACAAAAUUUUUGGGAGACCCUAUAAUUCCUAUAAAUCAUUUUUGAACAAAGACCCAUCCUACUCUCUUGAAAUUUUUGAGAGAAACACCCACUUUUCCAUUCUGAUCCAUUUUCAGUUUACAACUACAACCCUAUUUCCCCUAGCUCCUAAAAAUCUACAAAAUUAUCCCAACACAAGAACAGUACCUACACUCCUUUUUCCCAAACAUCUCCUGAUCACAAGUUCUAAAUUUUCAAUAGGCCACAUGGAUUUGCUGAAUCGGCAUAAACCUUUCAAGUACCAAAAAUGCAGCAUUUUCUUGGCACGACCAAGCUACUUCACGGUAAUUCAUAUUUUAAGAAUUCUCACAUUUCAUAUAUCGCCUUUUUCAAAACAAAACAAAGUAUCUAUGGGGGCUGCAGUUGCAUGUUGUGUAUCAAUGUACCUUAUAUAUAUCACGAAUCUAAACUAGACAAACACGAAUGUAAACUGAACAAUUAAUAGGUUGCAAGAAUAUAUAAAAUCUGAACAUUACACAAUUCUGAACAGUACACUUCUCAAAUUCAUAGAAAUUUGACAGAGAGAGAGGGAGACAGCAAGGAUUCAGAUUCAGAGAAGUGCAGCAGGAGGGAAGUGGAGAGGAGGAGCAGCAGCAGUUUUGAGAUUUCAGAGAAGAGCAGCGGCAAGACGUUGAGAGGAGGAGCAGCAGGAGUAAAGCAAGAGGGAGGAGCAGCAACAAGGCGAGGGCGAGCGCGGCCGUGGGCGGCAACACGCAAGUGCGUGUGUGCGCGGGCGCGGCCGACUGCAGCGACAGCGCAGCAGUGAGGCAACGCAGGAGCUUGACGACGGUGGCUACGGCGACGAACCCAAUAGGGGAAGGGGGAAAUCGGUCAAGGGCCUCACUGAGGUGCUCGACGAUGAUCUAGGGAGGUCGGGGGUGGCCGGGAUGGAGCGAUGUGACGAGGUGGACGAGGGAGGCCGAGGUUGGGGAAGACGACGAUGGCGAUGAUACGGUGCAGCUCCGAUCGGUUGAGAACCCGUAGAUGAAGAAGUAGUCGACGGCGGUCCACCUGGACGUCUCUGUGCGGCGCGGGGUGACUGGUGGCGGCGCAGUGGGUCGGGGCGGCGGCGGAGCAGCAGGUCGAGGGCUCGGGGGAUUGGGGAUUGGGCUCGGGGAGGAGGCGGUGCUCGGGAGGAAAGGGAUAGAGGGGGGAAGGUUAGCAAUGGUGCACCCCCGAGCGGUGCGCCAUAAGUAACCUUUUUUAGGUAGCAAUGGCGCACCACCCAGAGGUGCGCCAUAAGUAACUUUCUUUUUUGCAUAGCAAUGGCGCACCAGCCAGAGGUGCGCCAUAAGUAAAUUUUUAUUAUUAUUUUUUAUUGCAUCUAAUAUUUUUUUAGAAAAUGCAUAUGAAUAUGAAACAGUAAUAAUUUUUUAUAAAAACAGUAAUAAUUUUUUUAAAAUAUCAUCAAAUUUGUUAUUUGAAAAUAUCAUCAAAUUUUUUAUUUGAAAAUAUAAUCAAAUUUGUUUUUUUUUAGUUGCAUUCAUUUGUGACGGUGGAGCGGGGGAGGAUGCGGGGGGUCGGCGGCGGCGGUGGAGCGGGGGAGGGUGCGGGGUGUCGGCGGCGGCGGCGGUGGAGCGGAGGAGGGUGCGGUGGGUCGUCAGCGGCGGUGGAGCGGGAGAGGGUGCGGUGGGUCAUCGGCUUGAGGUGCGCCAUUAGUAGUUUUGCAAAAAAAAAUAGUAGUGGCGCACUGCAUGGCAGGUGCGCCAUUACUAGUCACUGUUCCCUGGUGCGCCAUUAGUAUUUUUGGAAAAAUAUAUAAGAAAAUUUGUUACUAGUGGCGCAUCGUGGGUCUGGUGCGCCAUUAGUGUCUACCACACUAAUGGCGCACCAACUCAUGAUGCGCCAUUACUAUAUAGUAGUGGCGCACCACAUAUCUGGUGCGCUAUUAGUGGCCAUAUCAUCUAUAGCCCUUUUCCUAAUAGUGAACAUAAAAUCCAAUAUAUCAAAUGUGUUAAAAUCCAGUAAAUAAUGCCAGUAAAGUAUAUACAAAUUUGCACUUCCAAUACACCGAACAAAAAAUGUACAUACAUCAACAUUCACUACUCCUUUCAACAAUGCUAGAACAUGAUCACUUGUUUGUCUUUCAGCAGACAAUCCUUGACCACUGGCAACCGGGGAGCUGCUAGAGAUCGCUCCUCAGCUGGCUUAGCUGUUUGUUCAUCUAAAAAAGAAAAAGGGUUACCUUUCCGUUAAUUUUAGUCUUGCAGUUACAGCCCCUCAAGUAUUUGGUCACCUAUAUUUUCUUGUUUUUUUUCACUACCUUGUUUCAUAAUUAUCCUAUGUAUUUUCUUGAAGAGUGCAGGCUUAUUCUACACCAAUUCCCCUCCAUCCUCGAGUUACCUGGCCACCGUAGCUCCUCUCCUCCCUCUUGCCGCUCCAUGUGCUAGCAUUGAAAAUGCCAAAUUAUAUUGUGUCGCAUUGUUAUGUACGUAGUUCUGAUCAAUAACACAACUACCUAAAAGCAAAUAAGAAAACCAAAGUGAAAUUGCUGGGUAAAUGUCAACAAAUCACAUACUGCUAGAUGAAUCAUAAGAAUAUGUGUACCCCAUUAUGUCUCAAAUCAUCAUAAUACAGUGAUAGGUGAUGUAUAGGGAGAUAAAAGACAUUGGCAAUAAUUAAUAAUCCUUACUGGUUAAAGAAAGAAAUUGGUCAUCUGAAAUUAUGAAUAUGAAGAUAAUGAACCCAUGAAGAUACUAACGAUUAGAAUUAUCCUUCCUUUCAAUCUCCAUCUUUAACAAACAGGAUAACCCAAAAUGAAUAGGCGAUACUUUUAACAAAAAUCUAAAAAAUUUAAGGGUAAGCUAUAGAAUAUGUUACCAUUAAGGUAGAUGUUAAUUGCAAGAACAACUUUUCGAUCAAUGCUACACUUUUGUCAUGCAUCACGUUAACAUGAGCCGCAACUUGUGGAAGAUAACAUGUGCUCAUUAUUCAUGUGCAUCCUGAUCUCCAAGUAUUAACACAAGAAAUUAUUCAGUUGUAACACACUCUAGCCAUGCCCGAAAUAUGAUUAGUGGAAUGCUCUGCUCGGUAAAUUACUACCCAGCGCAUAUUGUUUCACCAAUUUUGAACAAGUGGACUGGAUCGCUUAUCAAGUAUUUUUCAAGCGAGGAAACUAAUAUCUCAUGUGAAAAAAAUGCUUUUCAGGCUUUCCUUUUACAAUACUAUAGAAACUUGGUUCUCUCACAUGUACAUAUGAACCUACUUAUGAUAAUGUUGAUCCCAACCACGUACGGAAACACUGAUUGAGAUUUACUCAAUAGGAUAGCUAAAACCUGACAGUAGUGAUUUUUUAAAUGUUAGUAGUAAUCCAGAACAAAAGAACAAGGUAAGCAAGUGAAAGAGUCAACUUACCUUUAACAAAAUUUCGUCAUAUGCCAAAAAAGAUUCAUCCCUAAAUGUUUAAUGAAGUGAUGCUUCUGGCACUUUUGGUUCCUCCAUAUCACGCUGCAAUGAACAUGUCCCAUUGGAAAAUUAGAUGUAUAAAAAAAUUAAAAUGGCAGCAAUUACUAUUCAAUAGUGAACAAUCAGGCUAUUAGAACAUACCUAUAUACAGUUGUGUAGCACCAUAACAUCUUAAAUUGGGAUAAAGACAGACAGAGUUCACCAUCAAUAUACAAUCAGGCUUCUGAACAAUAACUACCAGCAGCCCAACAGUACUAAUCAAAUGAAAUAAGAUAAAUUCAGUUACUUUAGAAUAGUAGUACCUGGCCAAUGGUUGGCCGUAUGAAGAAAAAAUAAGGAUCGAGAUGUUUAUGUGAAGAAGAACUGAAGUCAUAUCAUCUCCUGUUGCACAACCAACUACUGGCCAAUGGUUGGCCGUAUGAACAUACAAGUACCAAAACGACAUGGACUGUAAUAGUCUUGAACCUAUAUAGACACGGGUUAUUCUAGAAAUAUAUCUGGAACAUGUUGUACAUGCGGCAUCAAUACUAUGGCUGAAUCAAAUGAUCAAUUAACCCUAAUACAUACUACGAGCACCCACAUAUACAAAACAUGCAAUCAGAAGAAAGAAGAGUACAUCGAGCGGCUUGAAAUGGUUUCCCAUGGUGGC
rnacentral:lncRNA from 1 species